AAAAAAAAAGGAAAAGUAAUGAGUCAAGCGAGGAAGUUAGGGAGAACAUAAUUUUUUUUCACUUAUAAUUUUUUUGUUGAAUUUUAUUUUGUUAAUUCUCCUUUACUUUUAUGCACUCGUAAUUGAUUUUAUAAUUUUGUUUAUAUAUAUAUGGAUGGUUGGAUAAAAAGAGAGUGUCGUGCUGAAGAUCACAUUACCUUGCUUGAAUAUGUUAUUAUGUUUUGAUAAAAAUGUCAAAGGUGAAAUUGUUAGUGAUAAUUACGUUGUUUAGAUAUAACUCCAGUUACAACUCAAUUUGUGUCUGGUACAUGGUGUAAUUUGUCAUAUUUUAUUAGCAUCAUUUGACCGAAAAAUUUGAGACUUUUUUAAUGCACAUAUUUGAAGGAUUUUUAACAGCAUGUUACUAAGUUAAAUUUAAAUCAGGUCUUGAAUUGUUGUUUCGGAGGUGAAAAUUUUGUAAAGUGUAUGAUUAAAUUUGUGUCCAUCUCUAUUAAUUAACAAAUGUAGAGAUAGGCAAAAUAUAGUAACUAUUUAUAAGAUUAAAAAUCAUAGGGGUGGUCGCGAAUUGAUAUAAAUUAAUAUUUUUAUGGUAACUUUGCAUAUAAAAUAUGUUUGGUGAAGCAUCAUUGGUAUUGGCUAAAAAUGACAAGUGGGGUAGUUGAAGUAAGGAAAGUAAAAAGAUGUAAUUAUUGGUAAAUACUAACUAAAAUAGGAGAUGCCCAUGUCUAAGAAAUGAAACUAAAAUCGAAGAAUAGAGCCCAUUGGUUUGGCCCAUUUAUUAUUUGGAUCUACCUUCUGUAACUUUGAACAAUCACUCUUCCUAUUUGGACCCAUCUAACUAUGAUUACUUUUUAUUUAAAAUAUUAGGUGUUUCUUCAAACAAUACAAGCAUUGGGCUCCAAAAGCCUACAGGAUGACACAGUCAAUGCAAAGGCUAAAAGGCAAAUCCACCACUAAGGGGGAGUCAAAGCCACAACAAGAACCUGGAGAAGGGUCACCGUCACCACCGUGGACAUCGUCAGGAGUCACCGACUUAAGGAGAUUUCAAGCCUUCGGAGCGGCGUCAGCAACCAGCCACCACGCGCCAGCUGACGAGGGUUAUCGAUGACGGUGGCUCCACCAAAUGUAGAAACCUUGCCGGAGCAGAAGAAACCGAGAGCCGAGGAGACCCCUGGCCAGAGAAAAGGAGAUGUGCUCUGAGAGAAAAAUGUGAAAAAACCACAUGGUAACUGAGAGUCGCUCCACCACGUAGGAUUCAAAUAGUAUCAUAUAUAUAUAUUUUAAUUCUUGAAUUUUAUUUUUUACUGUAACGUAGAUGUCACUCUUAAAUCCUGUUUCUAAAAUCUAAAGAUUUCAUAAUUAAUUCAAACAAAUAAAAAAAAAACUUGUAGCAUAUAAUUAUUUUUAUACCUACCAUUUUUCAUAAUAAUAUAUUUUAUAUUUUCUUUAAUGCAGGCACGGACAAAAAUCCGUAUCUAAGGGACUACACCAUCAAGCCCGGGUUUGUGACCCAUGAAAAGCAUGUUUUAAUGUAAUAAAUCCAAUAAUAUAAAUAAAGUAGGUAUAAAAAUCAUAUUUAAAUUUAAUCAAAUUCAGAAAUUGCUUUGCUUUUCUCCUUAUUAAUAUAACAUCAAAUCUACGUUAUUUUGAUCGAUUGACAUGAAUAUCAUUAUUAAUUUAAGAGGAUAUAAAUUUGAAUAUACUGAAACACAUGAAUGAGUGCGAAGCUAUAAAUAAUUUUACAUAAUAAUAAAAUAAGGGCCCAUGUCAUAUAAAAGGCCCAAUUUAAGCAAACCUCUCACGGGAAAUCCACUCACAUGACUCGCACUCCAUCCCUUUUCUUUUUGUCUCCCUCUCCAUUCCAUUCCAUCAAAAAAGGAAGACAACUUUGUAGUUUAACCCCACACACACAGUACUGUUGUUUUCGCCGGGAACCAACGUACCAACAAUCCUCCAUAUUUUCCUUUCCAUUUCCUUCCACUUUUAUGCUUUUUCUCUUCCCUUUUCCUUCAACUUACAAAUUGUCUUUUUGCUUUUUCAUUCUUUUUAUACUUUUGGGCGGUUUCUUUUUUAUAACAUAUUAUGUAUAUUUUGCUUGUGACAUCUGGAGAAGAAAAGAAAUGAGAAGGGGAAAGGCAAGUCAAGAGGAAGAAGAGUUUGGUUCCAAAAAGACAGGGCCUUCUUCCUUUCAUACUCUCUCUGUCAACGCUAAUACCAAUACCAACACCAAUAUCAACAAUGGUAUAUCAUUAGAUUGGAUCCCACUCUUUAACCCAGAUCUCCCUUUUCCUUUAUUACUAAUUUCUAUAUGGUUGCUUCUUAAAGGGUGUUUUUUUCUUUUCUUUUGUUGAAUUUGGAAUUCUGGGUUUGUUUCGUUUUUUUUUGUUUGUUUGGGGCUGUAGAAGCAGACGGGAAAGACAGUGAUAAGGCUAAAGCUAUACGAUCAAAACACUCUGUCACGGAGCAGAGGAGGAGGAGUAAGAUUAAUGAAAGGUAUCUCUUUUUUUUUCUUCCAGUUUCAAUGUCCAUCUUUUAUCAUUACUAUGGAAAUUGAGGGAAGGGGACUGAGCUGAAGUUCAAGUAAUUGCAUAAACCAUUGAAUGUAAUGGUUCAGGAUACGAUGACUCUAACAAAGUUUUUAACUUUAUCAGCUUUGGUUGACUUUGUUAUGGAAAUAUUGAUGAUUGAUACAAGGAAUUGUAUUUUGUAGCUAAUUCACUGUAUUAUGAGUAGAUGAUGAUUCUACUGAGCGUUUAAAAGAAUGAUUAAGUUUAUAAAAUUCUAACUUGAAUUGGCACCUGAAGUGUUGACGUUAUUGGCCAUGUUAUGGUGACUGAAAAUGUUUGCUUCUUCUCUUGCUACCACUGAGUUAAGUGCUUGUUCUACAUGGAAGCUUGGAUCCAAAAUUAAGUGCUAUUGUAUUACUGUAUAUGUACCAUGGAUUCUUGAGGGGUUACAAAUUGAUGAUGCAGCCUGCUUAACUUUAUGAAUAGUAGUAAUACUAAUAGCUUUGGCGUCUUUUAGAUUUCAAAUAUUGAGAGAUCGUAUACCAAACACGGAUCAAAAGAGAGAUACGGCUUCAUUCUUGCUAGAGGUAUGUUAUGAAUCCAGAAUGGUGUUUGUAUAACUAUUUUCCUUCUGAAGAACUCUGCUUGAAUAAUUGUUGUUGGAUCAAUCUUCUUUUGCAGGUCAUAGAGUAAGUCCAAUUUUUACAGGAGAAGGUUCAAAAAUAUGAGGGUUCUUACCAGGGAUGGAGUUCAGAGCCCACGAAAUUAAUGCCAUGGGUACGUUCUUAUAUGGAAUGCUUUCCAUUCAUGUGGUUUAAGUGGUUAAUUUCCAUGCUAUGAUGAUUUGUGUGUAUAUGCUUUAUUAAGCUAUUAGAUAGUCUAUUUUCUUCUUGUCAUUGUUAUUAUUGGAAAUUCAGUUCAUUAGGCUUGUUAAUGAUGUAUGUGAUAUUUUACUGGUCUUAUUUUUGAAUAUGCGAAUUGCUUUAAGUCAUUGUUGCAAUUCUUCAUUGUGGUGAUAAGAGAAUAUACUCGAUUCAUUUAUUUGUAUGGUAUUGAUUUUUUAAAUUUUAUGUUAAGCGUUGCAAUAAUUGGAUGUGGUGGAGUAUCUUAUCUAUUAGUCCUUAUAUGAUUGUUGUGAAUGUGAAUUUCAGGCCAUGGCACUGCUCAGAAUUGCAAUAUUCAAGUGCUUUGUAUUGUUUUAUUUUGAAGGUGUUGAUUGCUUGCAUUAACAAUUUACUUGGUGUUGAAGAAUGUGGCUGUAGAUGGUGCCUGCUUAUUUGUGGUAUUAACCUUCUGAUUAAUUACUUACUCUUGCCUUCCUCGAAUAGAGAAACAGUCAUUGGUGUGGUCAGAGUUUUGUUGAUCAACCGCAAGCUAUUAAAAAUGAUCCUGGGCUGGGGUCAACAUUUUCUGGGAAGUUAGAUGAGAAUAACAUCAAUAUCACCCCCUCAAUGAUCGCAAGUGCAUUGGAUCCAUCAGAAGCUGAUCCAAUCAGAGAUAAUGAGCAAGCUGAGUUGGCUGUGCCCAUUCAAGGUGGGCAUCCACUUCAGAGACCUGUGUCUGAGGCUCAAACAACGGAGUGUCUUACCAGCAAUGAUACACUGAACCAACAGGAUGAUCUGGCCAUUGAAGGAGGAACGAUUAGCAUCUCUAGCGUCUACUCUCAAGGGUGGGUAUAUCCCCCAGCAACAUUGCUUGUUUUGCAUACAUUAUGAGGCACUUAUGUUGCUGAAUGUUGUUCAUGGAUGAUAAUGUGAAGCAGGUUAUUGAACACACUCACACAAGCACUGCAGAGAACGGGUUUGGAUCUGUCACAGGCCAACAUCUCGGUGCAGAUAGAUCUGGGAAAGCGUUCCAAUAGAGGGCUAACAUCGUCUGCUAAGGUAUUAACUCAAAUUAAGCAAAACAUGUGUUGGUUGAACCUGUUAUAGGGUUUAUUAUCCCAUGUUUAUUACUGAGAUGGGUUAAUAUAACACUACAUCAUGCAUGUUCUGCUAUAAUAUUUUUACAGGAGUCUGCCAAUGGGGAGGAUUCAAAUCCAGUUCAAAAGCGGCUGAAGAAAUAACAUUCAAGUUUUAUCCUUCCAUCUGUUAUAUAUCUGUUUUGGUUUCGUUGGGUUAUUGUAUAUGCUUGGGUUUUGGUUGUAGCAUAUGUUUUUGUGAGAUGGCUCCUGGGAUUUCCAUCCGUGGAAUAUCAAUGUUUAACUGUAUUAUAACGGAUCAUGUAUAUAACAAAUCAUCUUGAUGGCGAAGGUUAAGCCAUCUGAAAUCAUAAAGAUGCCUCAACUGCCAAUCAAUUGGUUAUUCAAAAAAACACAAGCUUCAAUCACUCACACAAAGGAUUGUAUGAAACAAAUCCCUUUGUUUACUAUUUUAAUUUCCCUGUUAAUUAGUUACAUUUUAUGAGAGACAAGUUUAUUGCUAAUUCAUGUCAACUCCCAUUGCUUUAACCAGAAAAGCGUAGUCAUAAGCCAAUUCCUCGCACUGAAUAUAGCGGCCACCUUCACCGAAAUGUCCUCCGCUCAUAUUUGUAGUAAGAAUGACAGAAGGAGAACAUGAAGAGCAAGCAGAAUCUCGUACUUUGGCCACCCAUUUGGCAGCUUCCCAAACUCCAACCCUUUGAAUCAAUGAAUGAUAUAAAUGCAACAAUCAUUAGUCAAUGGGUGUAUGCAAGUUUUUUCUGAACGACUGUACAAAAAGAAUUUAAAGCCAUGGAUUGGCACAAGUAUGGAGACAUUCAUGCAAAUAUAAACUAAAAAAUAGAAGUGGAUGAAGCAGGCUUUUACCUCGAGUCGUUAAAUGAUGCUGUAACAAGAACCGAAGGGUGGCAACCUCUGGGACGAAUGUUUUUAUAUGGACAAUAACUUGAUAUGCACUCAAAUUCAGACUUUAUCCCAGGAUUACCAAAUUCUUCAUAGUCCAACAUUGUGAGAGGCAAACUAGGAUCCAGUAAUGAGUUCAAUAUAUCAAGAAAAGGUACCUGUUUGAAAUAUUAACAAACUCUCUAUUAUGACACUUUAAUGACAGAAAACCGGAAAACAACAGCUUCCUCAUGGUCUUCCCAGUUUUAUUAGCAAAAAGGUACAGGAAAAAAAUUUUAAUCUUUGAUUUAGCACUGGAAGGUUUCUUAUCAGCACUCAGAUCGAACUUCUGUUUAUUUAAAGCCUGCUUAUUAGCUAUGUAGUACUCGAGCAAGAAAGAGUAAUAUUAUAAUAAAUGUCAGGUAUCUUGCUAAAAUGGCUAACCUUCAAGAUUGCAGCAUGAAACAAGUUUGGGUACAUAUUGAGAGCCGCCCCUAUAAGAAGACACCCAGCACUGACUCCAAUGGCACUCAGUUGAUCUCUCUGAACAUAGCCCUCAUCAAUUAGGUACUUGCCACACGACACGAAAUCAUGUAUAGAAUUUUGUUUCAACAGUCCAUUGCCAGUUUUAUGCCAUGAAGGAUCAUCACCGCCACCACCCCUGUCGAGAAACAUAUUGAGCAUUUGAGAUAACAAAUAACAAUAUCUAAGACCAUCAUAUACCGACAAAUGUUUAUUGAAUUCUUUCCAUUUUUUAACUGAACAUGAAGUACAAAGCAUGAAAAAAAACAUUGAUGCAAACACAAAGCCAGGAAUGUAAAAUCAAGAAUGUGAACAAGUACUUGAGGAGAAAAUGAUUCAAACAAAUGGGGGAAACAACUGAUCAGACAAGAAAGAGAAUAAUGACUUCUAGUUGCAUUUUGUCACCCUUCUUAAGAUCCAUAUGCUUGUGUACAAAAAUCAACAAUAUUGAAGACAGAAAUACACAACUAAAUUCACAAAUUAGUUGAAAAUGAUGUGGUUUAGUUUGAAAAAAGGGAUGCCAAACAAAUUUGAUAGAAGGAAGAAAACAUGAACCAACCUUACAUCAGCAAAUGCAAUCACCCAUCCACGAUCAAGUAAACUGAGGCGGUCCACACGCCAACUUUUAUCAAGGACUUCACCGUAUGCUCCAUAACCAUGUAAAAUUCCAGGAGACUGACUGCUCUUCCAUGCUUUUGGAGAGUACAAAAUGGUCAGAGGAACCCGGAUGCCAUCAUGCGAAAUAACUUCCUUUCUUUCGCAACAAUAAGUACUGGAAAAGUCUUUCCAUCUUUCUAAUUCAACAUUUUUGUCCUUUGCAUCCUUUUCAAUGCCAUGUUGUUGCAGGGUAUCUAGUUCAUAUCCUGAAGAGCAUGAUCGAGCAUUACUAGGAGCACCAAGCACUUCCUCUUGUUGGACAAUUGAGAAAGUUCGUCUUGCCAUGUCAUAAUCAACAAUCACAUCAGGUAUCUAGAGAAGCAAAAAGACAGGCUAAACAAAUUUAGAGUCAAUCAAACAAGAUAAACAUCCAAGCUCAAGUAACUAAAAUAAGCACAGCACAUAAAAAACAAAUCCGACUCACCAGUCUUUACUUUUUACUAAGCAGAGAGACUUGUUACUAUCAUUAGCAAAUGAAAUAACUAUGAAAAUAGAGAAGAUCAAUAAACAGUUCAUUUUAGUGACUUAAGAAAAUGUAAGGUUUCCCUAGAGUCUUGAAUCUAUUGCUAUCAGCCUUUAGAGCUCCUUGUCUCAAUUGGAGAAAGGCAGAUCAUUCAUACUCAUCAGCAUUGCAAGAGCUUUGUCAUGUUUGUAAACCAAGAAAUGAAUUGAAAAAAUAAUUUCAGUAACAGAGAUGCACAUUAAGCAUAUUGACAUCAAAUGUAAGACAGAGAAAGCCAUAAAGAGUCCAAAGCAUCAAGAUAUUAAAAGUAACUGUAUCAUAAUCAAGCUCAUAAGAAAUUUACCACUGGAGAUGAAAGCACAACUCUGUAUACUGAGCUCAUGAAGUCAAGGUUUGAACCUGGUUCAAUACUACAUGAAUUUGAGGGUAUAGGGAAAAACCAUGGAUUAAGAUCCUCGAUCAGCAUUUGAUGCUACAAAAUAACUCACCACAUUGAAAAUCAGUAUCCUCUUAUGUACUCUGACUAAUACUUAUUUCUAUUUUCAUAACUUGCAAGGGUGAAAAGAAAUCAUCAAACCAUAUAAAAUUGAAAGGUUGCAAUUAGGAGUUAAAAAACCCAAAAUUAAAAAGCAUUUCCAUGGUGAAACUCAAUAUUGUAUCGAAAGGCAAGGAAAACUAAGUUUCUGUGCUAAAAAAUGAAUAAUAUGUUACAAGUGACUUAAGAGUUCAUGAAGCAUAGAACGAAAAGCUUGGAAACAACAAACAAUAAUUCAUAUUGCACAUUUAUUUAAUAAAAGAGAGACAAAAGCAGAAAUUGCAAUACCUUGCAAUCAACAUUAAUAGGCAAAUCAAUAGAACAUAUCAUAGGAAAGCCAUCCUUAUUGAGAAAAAGCACCAAAUGUCCAUUGAAAAUAUCCAUAUCCUGUAUACAGGUAUCUUCACCUGGGUAGAAAAUAUUCUGGGAAAAUAUACAUACAGAAAUGUAUCAUGAUGUGCAUAAAGGAUAGUUUGAAUAGAAAUUUUCAGUUGAGAAAAGAUAAAUACAAAAAGGAAUCGGGUAUCCACUUCUCCAGAUACGAAUAGAACAAACCUGCCAGGUGGUUGACUGGAUGUCUCCAACUCGACAUCUAGCUAAAUAUAAACCUUCAUGGGAACACUUUAUAUUUUCUUUCAUAGGAGCAUUUGUAAGAAUAUAAAAGAAACCAAAAUGAUGUUCCAAAAAAUAUUGUACGCCAGAAACACGCUCAUGUACUCUUUGCAAGCCAUUCAAAGGUUCAGUUGCAUCUACAACAUAAACCUGUAAUAAUGCAAUGGAUAUAAGAUUGGCAUAAGGGAUAAUUAUAAUCUAAAAAGGGUAAAAGGAAAAGGUAAUGAAAAGGUAAAUGCCUUCCUCAGAUGAGCUCCUUGAAUUUGAAUUCACAGUUAUGAACUUGCCAUCUUUUGUACUUGUUAGGUCCACACAAUAGCUAGGAUCAUUUUCCAUAAAUACCAAGGUAUCAUCUGUAUUACCCGGUUCUAAUUUCGUGCAAAGAACCCUGCAAAAAAUUUAGAGAUAUGUUGGGCAACAUAUCAAGUUCUAAGAAAAAUAAGGCAACACAGUGAAGAAAUAUGCCUGUAAGGUCUUUGAUUCUCAUCAGCAAUUGUAUAGAGCAGAGUCUUGCAAUCUUGAGCCCAUGCCAAGCUAACAACUCCAUUUACUGGUUCCAUUGGAAUAAUACAUCCAUUUCUGAGGUCCUUAAUUUGAAGCAUGAACUGUUCACUGCCAGUAGCAUCAAGCGUGUAUGCUAGAAAAUUGUGAUCUGGUGAAAUUCGACACUGACCCACAUGAACAUAACCUGCACAUAUGACAUAAUAACACCAAUCAAAACCUUAAGCAAAGAAAAUUAUUUCAGUUUUAGUCAUACAUAUGUGAUAAAGAACAAUACCAUGGCCAAAUAAUCAGAACCAUAAACUUUCAUUUUCUGUUUAAAAGGACUCACUUUUUGCUAUUCUAUUCUAUUCUAUUCAUUCAAGUUUUGAAGUUUUUAACAGUAAUAGACAGAUAGUGAUGGCAUAACAUAUGAUGUGCCUCCAUCCAAUACAGAUAUAAUAAAAGUUCAAAGAAAAUUUACCAUGUUUUUCAGCAACUUCAUUCCAGUCAAGCAAAAUUUCCUCCCUUCUAAACUCAGCUUUCACAUAACUGAGAAUCUUUUCCGCCCAACCAGGUUUGUUAGUUUGUAACCUCCUGCAGAGAACUGGGUAUUCCUUCCCUUCUGGUAUGUACUCGUAAUACAGCCUGCGUAAAACGUAUGUAAACUCAAAUUUUAUUAAGCUGCAAGCGUUGGCUAAGAUUCUAAUAAAUUUUAAAGAUUAGGUGAUACCAUGUUCUACACCAAAAACAAGCAGACAUCCGUAAAUUUUCUAAAACAGACACGAUGUAAACAAAAUAGCUCUAAGAAGGCACCACUUAAUAAAAACCCAAAUCUAAAUACUAGCAUAAACCCCAAAUAACAACACAACCACUAAUGUCAAAGAAAGAUAGAAAUUCCAUAUUAAAAAAAAUUAAAAACUUAGCCAAAACUAUGAAAUGGGGCAUAUCAGAAAACACAAACCAGGGUCCAAAACAUUCAACAGGGGUGGAGACCUUAGAGGGCAUCCGGUUUUUCAUCUCAGCAACAAGAGUUCGUUGCAGGGAUCCAGUGUCAGCCAUGAAAGCUUGAGCAUAAGAGUUUUCUUGGUUGAGGUAGUUUAAGAAAUCAGGGUCGUUGGUGUUGCGCAUCCAAUGGUAAGGAUCUUGCCAGGAAUGGCCGUGAAGGGAGAGUGUGAAAGGAACCCUUUUGGGAACUGGAGGGGGUUGAGAAGGGACUGAGAUGGGCUCUGCUCUGGAUUUGGAAGAGAAAGAUGAAGAAGAAGACGCAGAUAUGGAGGGGAUUAAGGCGAAAGACAGCCAAAAAGAGUGGGCUCUGAGUGAAGUGUUGGAGACUGAGCGGGAGAGAAGGUGCAUAUCGAUGUAGUUUCUAAGACCCAAGACCAUUUGCCUUCACUCCCUCUUUCUAUAUACUACAGUAUGAGAAACCCACAAUCUGGCUAAAGAAGGGUUUAUGGAAAAAGAUAUAUAAGUUUAUUUAAAAAUCAAAUCAAACUUUGUUUCAAAUCUUAAAUUUGAUUUAUAUUUAUCUUAAAUUUUUUAUAUGAAAUAUAAAAAAUAUAAAACAUCUUUAAAAUAAUUUUUUAUAUAAUUUUUUAUCUUAAAUUAUGGGUUUAAUUACUUAGUUAAACUCGAAAGCAUUUGAACAAAAAAAUUAAUCCAAAAAUAAGCUUAUUUAAAAUAAAAGCAACGCUCAAGUUCCAAUAUAAUUCCGAGCUUAACCUAUUUUUCAAGUUUAUGAUAUAUUAUAUAUUAUAUAGAUUAUGUAAAUUUUUUUGAAGGUAUAUAAAUAAUAUAAUUUAUAUUAUAUGAAAAAUUAAACAUAUUAUAAUGUAAAUAUUAUAUGAGAAAAUAAUAUAAUUUACCGGUUGUUAAAAAGAAUAAAGAAGAAAAUCAACUAGCAAAUCAAAUGGAGCUUAAACUCAUCUUGGAAUUGAGCUUGAAGUUGGAUUCAGUAUAAGUAUAUUAAAUUUUUUGAACCCACUGGACGAGACUGAAUUACGAAUACAAAUACAUAGGAAAAGCAUUAACAAGAACAAUCUGAUUAAUAAGAAUGAGUUUCUCUGUACAAGGCAAGUAAUGAUGUUCUAAUUGUUUCUUGCGUUUAAAUAAAUGAAUAAAUACCAUAUCAUAAUAUCUCUUUGCAUAAACCAAACACACUGAAAUCAUUUUCUCAGACUACCCCCUUUCUUUAACAGCUUCUGCCAUCCCUUCUCCUCGCCAUCAGACUUACUCCCAUUCUAAGCUUUAGUUCCUGCUGCAUUCUUCUUCUCAUCUUCAACAUCCUGCAAUUAGCCAACAAAUUUGAAUCAUAUAUGUUACGACCAAUUCAAAGAAGGCAGAACCACCUUAGGACCAACAUUGUUGAGCCAAAACUUAAACAUGCUACGAGAUGUAGAUCCAAGGAUGCAACAGACCUAUUAGGAGUUAGGGCACCUUAAAAACAGGAUGUAUAAAGUUAUUCAAUCUUACAGAAUUUUCAAUCUUGUCAAAAUCAUCAUCCAAGCUCCCAUCUGCAUCAGCAUCAGCAUCAGCAUCAUCUGAAAAGCAUGCAAAUAAUUAGCUUACUUAUAGUAAAAAAUCACUAAUGCAAAUAAUGAAAGAAUACCAAAGAAUAUACCUCCACCACCAUCGCUAUCAAAAUCUCCCAACAAAAAUGUAUCCAAAUCUUGCUCGGCAGAUGCACUUGAUGUUUUAGUUUUCAAACUACUUUCUGACUCUGCCUUCACAACAGGUUUUUGCUGUGGUUUAUCCUCUUUUACCCCCUCCACUCCUCUCUGUUUAACUUCCUCCAUGUACUGCUUCUCAUAACUGAUAAAUAUAAACACCUUACAUCAUAAUUAGAAUUUGAUUGCUAACCCUAAAUUAUCAUAAUCAUCACAUCAUCAUCAUAAUUAAACACUUACGGUGCAACAUGAGUGCUUACAAGAGUGAAAUAUAUCCUCCAAAAAUUCCUUUCUUUCAUCAAACGAGGACACAAUUCAUAUCUCAAUUUCUUGAUUUCCUGCAUAAGAAUAAUAUGUUUUGCAUAAAGUAAUUAUUGGAAGUACAAAAUCUGAAAUGUUUCAUGCAAUUCUUACUAAACUUAAGUCUAGCUUGAAAUUUCCUUUUGGAAUACAAAAUUAUAAUGACACAAAGAAUUGACUUCAGGGAAAGUUCAUCUCAAUGCCAAGUUCAGCAAUUAGGAUUAAACACAACUACAGAGUAGAGCCAAACGCAGCCUUAGAGCUACAAAAUCUAUAGUGAAAUGUAACACACGCACACACACAUAUAUACCUUCACAGUAGUAAGAACAAGAGUGGCAUGCCUCUCUUGCCAUUCACUCAGAUCCUUCCGUACAUUGGACCCCACAGUAGUCGAAUCGGACGGCUCUGGUUCGUCUACAAUGAAAUUUAAAACUUUCAGACAAUUUUAUCUUUCAGAAGAAAGAAAACACACAAAAGAAAUGCAAUUAAACGAAAAGUUUACCUUGGACAGGGGAAGGGAAGUUCUGGAAAGUAGUUGAAGUAAAGCCUUUGACAAAAUCUCUCAAAUCAUCGGUGAGUCCGAACUUGCGGAGCUCCGAGUCGGGGAUAGGAGGAGGAUCGGAAGAAGUAGAGGCGGGAGAGGAAAUGGAGAGGGAGGAGAGUUGAGGAGGGAUAAAAUCGGAAAUGGACUUAGAGAUGGAUUGGAUUUGGAUUUGGUCGGCUUGUUUGAGAGCGGCAGUUUUGAGCUCAUCGGCUUUCUUGGUGGCUUCGACAGCAAGUUCCUUGGACUUCUUGGCGGUUUCAGCGACAAGAUCGGCCAAUUUGUUGGGCGAAGUUAGGGUUUGCGAUUUCUUAGCUGCUUCUUCAGCGAAUGAUUUCGCUCGCUUCCAAAAAUCUUCCAUCUUGGGGAUCUGAUAGAUUUGAUUCUUCGCUUUCUCUGUUUCUCUGUUUGCCGUCUUAAGAACUUCGCUUUUACUUCUUGGAGGACUCUCACGAAACGGCGCCGUUUCCAGAGUCAAUAGAUCUCUAGAUCCCGGCUACUAUUCUUAUUUAGAAAGUUUUUUUAUAAUUAAUUAAAAUUCAAAUAAAAACUUUUUAAUUAUGAGAUAAUUAUUUGAAGUGGGUCCCGGCCUAGCCUGGGUGGGCUGGAUCUAACGGUUGUACGAAUGACAAAGUCGCAGUUUCAGGUUAACUUUUUUAUUUAUCUUUUCUUUUUUGCAAAAUUACAGUCAUUAUUCAAUUAUUAAAAAUACCUGACUGUUCGUUAACUUCACUUAAUCCAUAAUUAUCCUUUCUUUAAAUCCUCAAUUAUUAUACUCAUAUUGUUUAAACAUGAUUGAAUUGAUUAUCAGAUUGGUUGAAGCGAAAAUUAACGAUGAUAGUUUUGAACUGAUUAAGUUAGUAACUAAUACAAACUAAUAAAACUAAUCGAAUGAGUAGUUAAAUCCAAUUUUUUUAAAUUUUUAAUAAUUUUUUAAUUAAAUCAAUUGUACUGAUGAACCCAAUAAAUUAAUUAUCUAACCGGUAAUCUAUCGAUGCCAGUUGAUUUCAGUCUUAUCAUCCAUCCGCCCAAUCCACUAUUCUGAAUUUCAGUAAACCAAAAAGUAGGCCUAGCUCUCUGAGGCCACCAUGCUUUAAACUCGGCCGAAAAGUCCGAUUCAUGUAUAUAUAUUUUAAAAAGGAAAAACCUUAGUAAUUGAAGAAUAGUAAAAUAAAAAAUAGUUAUGUUGGAAUUACGUCGGAUAAAUAAAUGAGAAAAAUAAAGAACUGUGGCGACAUAAUUUCAAGCAUAUCCAGCUUGACAUUUAACAACAAUUCCAGCCCUUAAAUCUUGGCAAACGCAGACUCAAAGUAUCAUCAAGUAAAACAAUAUGACACUGCAAAUGUUAUCACUUUGACAUUCAGUUCAAUAUUAUGAACGAUGCAAUAUGUUCUUGGAACUGAAUGAAUUUAGCGUAUGGGCUGAGAUUAUGGACAAAAAAUAUUCUGGGUAAAUAGUAGGAAAAAGAAUACGAACAAUGAACACUCUUUAUCUGAUGAUAUAAGAUGAUACUAUGAACAAAUUGAAAAAACCAAAACCAAAUGCUCCAAUGGUAUAUGAAAAUGAUAAGACAUUGCUUACAGCUCAAUUUACAUGCAUGAGAUCAACCCCCCCCCCCCCAAAAAAAAUAUAAUUUUGAUAAGCACAAAAUAAUAUAUUUAUAUAACCUAUGGAUCGAAUAGAGAAGUAUUCAGAAUCUACAGCAAAGGAGGCCCUGUCUCCAACCUCGGUGCUUCCUGUAAUGUCUCCCCUCAGCUUUUGCCAUUCUUACCGGGCUGCUAUUCCAUUCAGAUUGCAAUCUGUAGGAAUGAACAAUGUCCAAGCAGCCUAUGAUUAGUUUUGGGUUGGAUAUGGAGGACAAGUUACGUGCAAGAAACGAAUGGUACUUACAUAGGGAAGGCAAAAGAACGAGUGCUUGUUGUGCUGCUAUCUGAUCUAUGAGAGAGACUGCCUGAAUAUGCUAUUGGCCCAGAGUAAGUUAUUAGACCUGCAGCAGAGAAACUACACUCUCCAUAGCCGCGCUGAAGAUUGCUCGACAAAAGCUGAUCAGCUGGAUCUUCCAGCUUGGGCGUACUUCCACUUGCAAGAGGUUCAAGAUCAAGACUGUGGCAACAACGAUCUUUGCUGCUUGUUCGUGCAGAGGAAUCAGAUACCUCAUCGACAAUUCUGCUGCCGGUUGAUUCCUCAGAAGCGGAGGCCAGAACAGGACUGAUCAAGGUAGCUUCCCAUUUCCCAUGCUCGGAUUCUUCAGCUGCAGAAACCAAAGCAGGAGCUGAGAGAAUUACCUCCUCAUUCCCAUUGUUUGAUUCCUCAACUGGAGAAACCAAAGCAGGCAUCACCGUCGCUUCCUUUUCGCUCGAGUUCUACAUGCAAAUAGAAACAUAUCAUGUUACUUCCUAAAAUGUGAACCCUCUCCUCCUGAACAAUCUGUAUAAUAAUGGAUAUUCAUAGAUUUCUAACAUAAAUACUGUCAUACUUGUUUACUUUAAGCAUAGAGGUCCAUUUUCAUUGGAAUUUGUAUAAUACAUCAACAUUUUAGUAACUUUGAUUAAUUAAAAUUUACCUGAAAAUUCUGUUGUUGGGUUCCAUCACUUCUGCAAUCGGAACACACAAUUUCAGCUUUCACUGUGCUCAUUUCUGACAUCAAUACUAACUCUCCAAGUCCAAGGGUAUACAACUCUUUGGAGACGUCUUCUGUAAUCAUUUUCACUGCAUCUUCCUUCAUUUCCCUUGAUAAAAUAAAAUCCUUAGAAUCACACUGAUAUGGAAUUCCCUUGUUAGACUCACUUUCUUCUAGUAAGGAAACAUCUUGUACACAUGUAUCAGCAUCAAGUUUUUUCUUCGUGCCGCAUUCAUCGUCAAUAUCCUUGCCAGAUUGAUUUCCUUCAGGAUGGGCUUUCAAGUUUUCUUUCACUAGUUGAGCUUCUAGAUCCGUUUUGGAAGGCAAAAACUUCUCAUUCGCACCACUGUCGAACAAAAACUUGUCCUUUGUCAAAACUCCAUCAUCAAUACAGAUAUCCUUGACAACAUGAUAUGUACUCUCUUUAUAACAAACUACCAAUUCAGGCAAAUUACACUCCAUCACACUUCUAUCCAAAUAAAAAACCGAGUCCUGAAUUGAAUCCAUAUUCUUUGAGAAAUGAGAGUUUGAUCUCACGAAAUCUGUGACCUCCAUUUCGUUGUCAAAGGAAAAGUCAUUUACACUCAAGCAAGACUCCGUUCUGAUUUUCCUUCGGCUUUUAGUCCAACCAAAUCCAGAGGCUUUUCUUUGUUCUCAAAAGAUUCGCUUUGUUCUCAAAAGGUUCUAUGUCAACCGAGUAUGAAUAAGUCUCUAAGUCACUCUUGUAGCCUAUUGUUGAAUAGAAGGGCACUUGCUCAUUAUCUGCAAGUACAAUAAAAUAUUCAAUAAAACCUGUGACCUUCGUAUGUAAACGAUCAAAUAUGUCGAGCAGAAUAAAGGACAGCAACAUCUAUUCUUUACCAAAAGUGCCCGCUACUUACAGGAUGAGUUAUCAACCAAAUAUCUUAAAUAGCGAUUCAUGUGGAAGAGAUAGGCUACAGAGACCAAAUCGACAAGAAGGAAAAUUAACGAUGGUGUUAUUACUAAGUUCUACCAGCUUUGUGGUAACCAAGAUUUAUGUCUUGCACUAGAAAGCUACUCUGUACAUGAAAUCUAGGACAAGUUUGAUCAGCAACAAACUCAAAUUAUUCAAGUUCGCAGAAAACAGAAACAGCAACAAGCAGACAUAUUAAACAUAAAGUUGCUCGAAGAGGAUGGAAUAAGAACAUUUCACCAAGACAAAGCAGAUCAUAUGAUCAAUUGAAAGUUGGAAACCACCAUGUCAUGAUUUUUGUUUAACUAAAUUAGUCGAAAAGGAAAACAACCAUCCACCUCCAUGGAAGCACAGAAAUACAUGAAACCAAACAAGGAGUAAAGAGCUCAUAUUAACCUAGCAGCCUUAACCCGGAAACUAAUCAAUAUCCAGAGAUUAAGACAGAAGGCAAAAGAAAAAGGAUAGACUUCAAAAGAAAAGCUAAAUUAUAGCAGUGCUGAGAGAAUGAUAAAACCAAAUUACAACAACCAUGUAAUUCAAGCUCAUUCACUAGCUUAGAAACCAACAACUAUCCAAUUCUAUGCACUACCUAAAAGUGCAAAUAGUAUCCAAUUAAAUACAGCAAUAAAGUGCAAAAAGUAAUAUUCACAAAUAAAUUGCUCCAUCACCAAAAACAUUUCAGCUCGAGGGGAAUCUUCCUUUAGUCAGUACUCAAAAUACAAAAAGACAAGACUCAAAAAAGUUUAUUAGGGGAAAAAAGCUUACAUAAACAUUCAACCACUAAAUUAUGACUCAAAAGUUCAAAAGCUGAUUUUAAAACCCCCCACAUAAACCCUUUCCAUCUGUUGUAUUUUCUAGCUUUAACCAGAUCUAGUCCAUUAUAAUUGGUUAUAAGAAAACCCCAGAUUUAUUUAACUUCAAAUACAUGAAAAAGCUGCAGUAAAAAACAAAAGGAGAGAAUGUCAAAGAUCUAAAGCAGAUCCCAACAAAUACAAAAAGAAACAAUCAUACAAAACAAAACAUUAAAAUAAGUUACAGUUUGUUUGUUUGUACCUUUUCCUCUCUGUGAUUUGGAGCAUGAACUUUCACCAAUCUUCACUGCAAAAGAGCCAAGAGAAAAAACGUUAUAAAUGAAACAAAGGGGGAUCCUUAGGGAAAAGAAGAGCCUCCAGGUUAGGGGUUUCUAAAAGAAGAAGCUUUGGGUGCUUCCAAGAGGCCUUUUUAACAACAACAAAGUAAAGUGCAAAAGCAAGGCAAAAGAGUAGAAAAUCUAAAUUAAUACAAAAAUUAAAUGACAUGCAACUAUCGAAACAUAAACGUAAUAAAAAGUGUCAAAAUCAAAACAUCACACUUAUAUCAUGAACCCAAAAAAAAACCAUUUUUUCUCUCUUGGGUUUAGAGUUUUUGAGAGAUUCCAACUGCCACAACAACCCUUUAUUUAUUAGGUUCAGUUUUAGCAUUAACUAUACCACCCCAUUUUUAGAACUAUAAUAACCGCACUGACAACGCCACCCUACCUGUUCACUUUCUCAGGAAAAAAGAAAAACGAAAUUUUCCUUCCUACCAAACAGCUGCCUCAACAAAAUGCAUGAGAAAUAAAAAUGUUUUACUCUUUCCUUUCGACUUUUGUUUUCUUGGAUGCUGACACAAAGAUAUAGAAGAACCUCAUCAGCUCUCUUCUUUGAAGUCAAAGGAGCUUUGUUUAUAUAUAAAGUAUAAACUGCAAGUGCGAGUCCACUGAAGGUGAUGACGGUGACGAUGAUUCAAGUUUAAACGUGUUGGUUUUUAAUUGGAUAUGUUGAGCUGUCUGUUUUGGCGUCGGUCCCCUUCUUGUCUAGUUUAAUCCUCUCCAUUUUUCCCCAGGUCAAACCCUCUAUUGUCUCCUCUCCCCAAAAUGAUCCUCCACAACCGUUUUCAUUAUAGAACCAAGGGCUCGCCAGUUGGAUUAGAUUUACUGGUCAUGAUUUUUUAAAACAUGUCCUCCAUUGUUACCGAUGUUUUUGUCAAUCAGACCGGUAGUUGAUCCCAUCAUGUUAUCGAAUGAUUCAAUUUUAAUAGUUUAUCUAAUUUCAUUAAAUAAAUUAUUACAAUAUAGAAAGAAAAUCGAUUGAAUUUUCGAUUCAAUUAAUUUGUAUUGGUUCGUAAAUGAAUUAGUUCAACCUCUUUGUCGGAGCUAGUGUAUUGAUAAACUAUCAGUCCCAAUCAACUAAUCUAAUUCGAUUCUAACAACUUUGAACACUAUGUAAAUUAUUUAGAUUAAGUUAAAAUAUGUUCUAAGCCUUUAUACUCUUCAUAAUUUUAGAAUUUACUCAUUGUAUUUUUACUUCUAGAAAUUUAGUCUCUACAUUUUUUAACUUUCAAAAUUCAAGCUCAUUUGUUAACACUAUUAAUUUUUUGUUAAAUUUGUUAGUGUGGCCGUUUAAGAUUUAAAAAAAUACUUAUUUGAUAGCAAUGUAACUGAAAAAUGAUAUUAUAAUGAACCUAAAUUUAACCGUGUUAAUAGUUGGACAUGAAUUUUAAAAUCUGAAAAAAGAGACUAAAUUCCUAAAAUUAAAAGUAUAAAAAUUAAAUUUUAAAUUAACAAAAAGUGUAGGGACUUAUAACAUAUUUUAACCUUUAAAUUACAAAAGCAAAAAUACUAUAAAAGUCAUACCUACUUCUUUUGGUUUUUUUUAAGAAAAAUAAUUGAACUGUGACUUGAUUUAAUUGUCAAGGUAUUGAUAUAUUUAUUUUUCAAGUUAAAUCUUAUAUUUUCUAUGUUAGGGUGAGAUUUUGAAAUUAUAUUUCGGAUUUUAAAGAUUACUUUGAAUAGAUAAUUUUAUAUUCUGAUAAGAUUAAGUAAUAUAAAAAUAAUUUUAAUUAUGUCUCUUCUUUAUAGAGUAUAAAUUCUCACAGUAAUGUUGAUUUUUUCUUACAAUUUUACCAAUUAUUUUUAGGGAGUGUAAAAUUCUUAUGAUAAUGUUGAUAUUUUUGACAAUUUUAUCAUUUUUUUUUUAUAAAUUUAGUAAGUUGCAACUAAUUUUCUUUUUCUUCUAUUAUUUUUAACAUUUUAAUUAAUUUUAAAUCAGAUGGAAUUAAGUAACUAGUUUAAUAAGAUUUGUAUAUUUUUAUCAAACUGAACUGACUUUAAUUAUCUAAAAAUUUCAUCCCUUGAUCACCUCCCAAAUCCCGAAGAGAAAUAAUUUCAAAAUAACUUCAACUUUGUUGAGGAUUAAUUCAAAGUAGUGGGUUGUUUAGUUGACCAAGUAUUUCGGUAGAAUUUUUGUUAGUUUCAGAUUUUCAGUUUAAUUGAAUAAGUUGUUAGCUAUUUUUGUGUUAAGGUAGUUUCUUUGUAAGCUUAUAAAUAUAGGCAUUUAUGUUUUGUUUAAUAAAUUCAGUGUUCAUCAAUAAUAGAAUAACUUUGAUGCAUAUUGUAAUUGUCUCUUUCAUGUUCCUUUCUUCAACAAAUUUGAUAUCAGAGCAAGGUUUGAUCUUUUAGGCAAUUGACUGAAAGAUUUGGGUCCACUGGGUAUUUGAGAGAAAUACCUUUUUGGGUCUUUGGGAAAAACGAGAGAAGAGAAUGUGUGUUCUUGGAAUGGCAUCUACUAGUUUUUCUUCCUCUCAACCACUCAUACCCAUUUUUAAUGGUGAGAAAUAUGAGUGGUGGAGCAUCAAGGUGAAGACAUUGCUCAGAUCACAAGAGCUAUGGGACUUGGUAGAGUACGGGUUCGCUGAUAUACUUGAACCUGAUGAAGAAGAAGAAAAAAGAUUGAAAGAAACCAAGAAAAACGAUGCUAAGGCAUUGUUCAUUAUCUAGCAAGCGGUUCAUGACUCUAUUUUCUCACGAAUUGCUACAGCAACCAUAUCGAAUGAAGCAUUGUCAAUUUUGCAGAAAGAGUAUCAAGGUGAUUCAAAGGUUAUAGUGGUGAAUUUGCAAUUACUACGACGUGAUUUUGAAACCUUGAUGAUGAAGAAUGGUGAAUCAAUUGUUGAUUUUUUGUCACGAACAAGGACAAUAGUCGACCAAUUGUGCUCUUACGGUGAACAAAUUUCAAACGAGAUAAUUGUAGUGAAAGUUUUGUGAAGCUUGACGACAAAAUUUGAUCAUGUUGUGGUUGUUAUAGAAGAAUCCAAAGAUCUGUUAGUUCUCUUUGUUGAUGAACUAAUGAGGACUCUUUAAUCUCAUGAGGUGAGAAUCAACAGAUCAGUAGAAAAGAGUGAAGAGCAGGUAUUUCAAGUAUAGGAAACAUUCAUAAAUCAAGGCAAUAAUGACCGUUCAACAAACAAUGAUCAAGGAAGAGGAGGAUUUCAUUGUGGUCGUGGCCAUGGUUAUGGUAGAGGCAGAGGAAGGAAUGAUGGACAAAGGCAAUACAAUGAGCAAGGUAACAUAAAAUAUGGUAUAAAAUGUUAUCAUUGCAACAUAUAUGGGCAUAUAAAAGUUGAUUGCUGGUAUAAGGAUCAAAAAAUUAACUUUGCAGCAGAAAGUGAUGAGGAAAACAAGCUUUUUAUGGCUUGUAUUGAUGUUAACCAUAAGCCAAAUGAUUUGUGAUUUGUGGACAAUGGUUGUUCGAAUCAUAUGAUAGGCACCAAAUCCUUGUUCAAGGUGCUUGAUGUGUCACAAAAGAUAAUGGUGCAGCUUGGGAACAAAAGGGAGAUGCAAGUUGAAGGAAAAUGCACGGUGAAAUUUUUUACUAGCCAUGGAGAAGGAAAAAUUUUGGGCAAUGUUCAAUUUGUUCCUGAUUUAGGAUACAAUUUAUUGAGUGUUGAACAACUAAUGGUUGGUGGAUAUUCUAUCAUAUUUGAUGAUGAUGCAUGUAUCAUCAAAAAUAAAAGGUCAGGCAAACAAGUCCAUGUCCACAUGACUCCAAACAAGAUGUUUUCGUUGGAUGUUUCAAACAUGGAGAGCUUUGUUCUUGCUGCAAGUGCAAAGGAUGACUAAAAGCUAUGGCAUUUGAGGUAUGGACAUCUCAAUAUUAAAGGCUUGAAAUUGCUAAGUGAUAAAUGUAUGGUUCGUCGACUACCAAAAAUUGGCUCUCUUUAUUUAUAUAAGAGGUGCAUUUAUGAAGCAGCAAAACGGGUCUUGCGGUACAUUGCUGGAACUUUGGAGUAUGACAUUUGGUACUCAAAAACUUCAAAUUUUAGAUUGUGUGGGUUCACAGAUAAUGAAUGGGCAAGUUCUUUAUCUGAUAGAAGAAGUGUAUCAACAAAUGUUUUCACUCUAGGUUCAAGGGUGAUCACUUGAAGUUCAGCUAUUUAGAAGUCUACUUGGUGUCUGCAACUUUGAAUUAAAGGAGAGUGUUGAGGAUUAAUUCAAAGUAGUGGGUUGUUUAGUUGACCAAGUAUCUCGGUAGAAUCUAUGUUAGUUCCAGAUUUUCAGUUUAAUUGAAUAAGUUGUUAGCAGUUCCAGAUUUUCAGUUUAAUUGAAUAAGUUGUUAGCUAUUUUUGUGUUAAGGUAAUUUCUUUGUAAGCCUAUAAAUAUAGGCAUUUAUGUUUUGUUUAAUAAAUUCAGUGUUCAUCAAUAAUAAAAUAACUUUGAUGCAUAUUGUAAUUGUCUCUUUCACGUUUCCUUCUUCAGCAAACUUAAGAAUAUUGGAAUAAAAAUACCUUUUGGUGGUUGCAAAUAAUGGUGUGCUUUUUAUAUACUAAAAAUUGAAUAAACCAAACCUAUUUAAGUGAGCUCAAAAUUUUGGUUUGUUUUUAUCUUUUAUAUAAUGAAAAUUGCACAACCACCGUAUAAACUAGACCAAGGACAUGGGUGAAAUUGCCAGGAAGAGAAAAAGAAAGUUGGUGGAAAAAUAAAGAGAGGAGAGUUAGUGGAUGGUGGGCUAUGGUGGCUACAAGCUUGCUUCAUGGCAGUGGCUUCAUUUUGGGCUUGUGGGGUCUAAGAGAAUGGGAGAAUAAUGAGAUUUUUUUUUUUUAUGUCAGUUUAACAUAUCCAUGCACACGUAACUAAUAUUACAUUCCUAUGUUUAAGAUUUGAUCCUUUUAUGCAAAUAGGAAUAUGUUUAUGAUUUUAUCAGACUAUGCAAAUAGGAUGAAAUACGUUGAAAUUUAAAGCUUGUUGGAUAAAAUAUGUUGUGAUGUACUCCUCCACUUUCUAAACUCCUUUUCUUCAUGAUGCUUAGGUUGCCUUUGUGUUUCUUGUUCGUUUCAUUGGUUGCAGCUCUUCAUCUCAGGCUUUAUACAAGAGUUACGAUAAAUCAACGGAUUGUUAGAAUUAUUUUUCUGGCGGGUUGGUUUUUAAUAAUAAGUUUUUAAGUGAGCUAAAAAUGUAAUUUUAUCAUUGUAUUAAUGUAAAAUUUUACAAAUUUUAAGAAAAUAAACUAUAAACUCUUUAUUUUUAGAGAGGGCAUAAUUUAAUUUUAAAAUUUAAGAGGAUCCAAAAUGCAAUUUUAUCAAUUUAUAAAAUUUUCCUCGGGGGAUUAGGGCCCUUGCCUGCCCCCCUCUAGCUUCACCCUUGGUUCACACUAAUAAUUGUUAUAAAACGGAAUCAAAUUGAAAGAGUGAUUGUGUUGCUCAAGGCGUGAUUAGCAUUAUCCUUAAGGAUAUUUCACAAAUAACGUAACUUCGGAAUUCAACAAAUACUUUCGUUUCUCAAGAACAUAUUAAUAAGGAAGAAGGCAAAAAAGAGAAGAAUACUCGAAAUUAAAUAUUUUAAAAGACUAACAAUGCAAAAAUGUGUUGGCGUAUGGAGGGAGAAAUCAAACGAUUUGCACUCGGUUGAGCUUUUGGGCUCAAUUCUCAUGUACACAUGUUCACCUUCCAAUUUCUACUCUUAUAAAUCUAAUUUCAAGUAAUGUUAUAUAAAUAAAAUUCACGAGGCUUCACAAAGAGAUGUGUGAUUGUUUGAAAAUACACUACAUUAUCUAAUCAAGUUAUGAUUCAUCUCGGCCUGUCAACAAGUUUGGUGUGCUAUGGUGGCUUUUCGUGCCACUUGACAUGGCCAUUCUCAAAAUAGCAUCCAUGUAUCCUGUUGCAGUUUCAAAGCCGUGUUUUUCGCAUGUACUCCAUCUUUCUUUUGAUGAAAAAUUCCUUUAAUGAAGUUGGAGUUUAUAGUAUUUUAGAAGCACCGGAGUAACUUUGAUUGCCACUUUUUCUCUUCGUUUCAGUCACUCAAUUGAAUGGGGAAAGGGAAACAGAGUCCGUAUUUUGUUGAGCCAUUUUCCAUGAUCCCAUGGAAAAGCCUUCACUUUGAGCUGUCACAUAACCAAGGACUUGCACAUUUAUGUUUCUUACUGUAUUAAAUAAACAAAGUACAACUAUAUGACUCUUUUUUUAUUUAUUUAAAUAAUGGUCUAUCCAGAACGAUAAAACCAGCCAAAGACAGCACAAUCUCCCUUGUCUGAAUUGGACAAAGUGAGGAGAGCAUGUUGUGGUGGGGGGACAACACCAAAUCUGCUGAAUUCUGCCAUCUUUUUGUUGCCUCCCAUUCAAUUUCCAUUACAUAAAUGGACAAAACCCCAUUUGCCUUUUUCUAAAUUGCAAACCAUCGUACCCUUAUUAAUUGUACUUUAAGAUAAAACGAACUAUUAAUCAAUAUUGUUGUAGCACUUGGAUUUUAAUAUAUGGGUCCGUACCACUAAUUUAUACCAUCAAUACUGGUCAUGUUUUUCUUUACGAUUUUAAUGAAAUAAAACUAGAUAUUUCUGUAACCCAACAAUUACUCCAUUUGUGCUUCCAAAGGUCAUAUGUUUAGCACAAAACGCAUACCAUUUGAGCAUGCUUAGCUUCAUCCAGCGGCUAUAAUGAAGUCAAUGAUGUAGCAGUAGUAGUGUUUUUGCCCUUGGAUUUUGUUCCUGGCAACCAAAGGCAUCUUGGCAAAUUGUGCAACUUUCAUAGUGGCCAAAUCAGUUCUGGCCAUUGUUUUUAUUUGAUAAAAGAAAAGCAUAAUAACUUAUUAAAUUAUUUUAGUUUUUCAUUUAAUUUUUUUAAUUAUUGAAUUUGUAUUAUUUGUGAAAUGACUAUUAAAAUAAAUGGAAAUGUUAAUAUUUAUUAACUUUACUAAUGUAGCAUUUAUGUGGCUAUGCACGUGUACGUUAUGUUAACAAUUAAUUAAUUUUAAAAAAAUUAAAUAUAUAUAAUUUUUUCCUUUUUAAUAAUUUUAAAAAAUUAAUUAAUUGUUAAUGUGAUAAUAACAAGUUAAAUGAACGACUAAAAUAACUUUUUCAUCUAUUUUGAGAGUGAUUUGACAGAAAACGCAAGUUCAAAUGCUAAAAGAAAAAAAGAUUAAAUGGAGAACCAAAAUUACUUUUUCUAAAAAAUAUUGGAGGGACAAAUAAGUCAUCAUGUCAAUUUUUAAUAUGAGUUUUUUUUCUUUAACUUUUUUUAAAUUGGUAUUUUUCAUUAAGUAUUUUCGAAGCAAAAUUUUGAGUAAAUAAUUCAAUCUUUGGUGGUAUUUUUAUUAAUAUCAAAAAUUCUAUCAUAUACAUAUGCAUAUGAAAAUUAUGUAUUUAGAGAUUAGACGUGUGUUUGAAAAUAACAUACAAUAAAUAAUUAUACGUAUAGUUUGAAACUAAUUAAUAAUUACACAUAAAAUAUGUACAAUAUUAAAAUGAAAAAAAUAUAUCAAAUUGUGAAUAAAACAAAAUUUGAACACAUAAGUACAUCAAAAUUAAUAAUACUAAAUGAGUACAAUUAUUAUUAUGGUGUUGUCAUCGGUCCCAAUUUGGUGCCGAGUUAAUUUAUGACAUUAACUCAAUCAACAACAUUAAUAAUAAAUACAAUUGAUGAAAGUAAUAAAGUUUGCAUAAUAAAAUUAAAAUGUAUAAAAAUUGAAAUAAAAAUUUAUAAUUUUUCUAAUGCAAUUGGAUGAGUACAAAUCUCAUCAUAUUCAUAUUUUUUUAAUGUUUUUUUACAUAAAAAGAUUAAAGUAACUAGGGGCGAAGUCAGAAAAGAUUUUUUGAGAGGACGAAAUUAAAUUGUAUAUUUUUACGAUAGUAAACAAUGUAAUUUCAUCAUUUUAAUAGUCUAUAUUUUUAUGAUUUUAAAUGAUUAAAUCAAUUUUAUCAUUUUUUGGAAGAGCCAAAGUACAUUUUGACUAUUACUAAUUUAAAAUUUUAUAAUAAAAAAAGUCUAAAUGGAAAUAUUUUCAUUUUAGGGAGAAUCUCUGCUAACCCCUAACUUCAUUUUUGAAAAUAACCUCAAUAAUAUAAUUUAUUUUAAAUACAAAAUAUUAUUUUAAUAAUUUUUCUAUGUUAGUGUUAAAUAAACUUAUAAUUUUAAUUCAAUAUAAUAUAGAGGUGAAAAUAUUAGCAAGGGAAGGAAGAAUGGAGAGAGAGGACCACACACAACACAAGUGGAUGUCUUAAAUGUGUCUCUUUCAGUUAGAUAAAGAGUGUUUGAUUUGGGUGUAAAUGAUUAAAUGCGGAUUUCAGGACCAGCACCGGGAUUGACUGUGGGGCGGGGCGUUAUCUACAUCUACGCUACAAAUGACGGCUAAUGGGCCUUUCCCUGUUCACUAUUAUGCGCCCUAUCAUUAUUACGCAUUUAAAACCCUCCUAAUUCUAAACCUUUCAAAAUUAUUUCUAACUUUUAUUUCAAAAAAUUUAGAUUUAAUUGAUUUAAACCAUUAAUUUAAUUUAAUUUUAAAAAUAGUAUUUAAAUCAUUACUUUGUUGUAGGAAUAUAUUAAAUUAAAUAUUUUUUUAAAAUAAUAACUUUUCUCUCUCUAAUUUCAUAAUAUUUUUAAUUGGUUGAAACUACCAUUAAAAUAUUGACUUUAAUUUUUUUAAAUAUUAAUAUUAUUAUUUUACUUUCACCAUAUGCCCCUACAUGUCUCCUUUAAUGGUGUGUCAUACGAUGGCAAACUUUCCACCUUUCACAAUAGGCGAACCUCUGAGCUAAACAAGUUUGGCGAACCUUGUAUCACGCUAUAGUGGCAAACUUGUAUAAGGUGAUCUUCACUAAACAUGCAUAGGAUACAAGUAGGGGAGAUAGACUUAUUGAUUACCCAGCAGUCUUAAGAAGUCAUAUCUUAGGACAUCACAUCAUCGUCACUAGAAGAGAAUGAAACAUGACUUUACUGUCAACAAUCUCUAAACAUGUAAACAUCCAUGUUCCUCAAUAUAAAAGCUCAAGAUAGGAAUUGAAGAUAACUAAGUUCCUUUCCAAAUUUCAUUCCCCUCCUUCUAAAGAUCUAUUAGCUAAAAUACCCAAUUAAUAUUCAGUGGCUCUUCGCCUUAAUCUCAAGUGAACCACCAUCCAUCACUUCACCCUUUUGUUAAUCGAGCUAGUUAACAGUUUUAAAAAUAAAGAAUUAAAUUAUGAUAAAUUAAAUGAUAAAAAUUAAAUCUUAAAUUUGAACAUGCUAAAAUGACUAAAAUAAAAAUUCAACCAAUAUAUUUGGCUUCAAAAUUCCUUUAACCCUUUGAGAAUUCCUCUUUUAUAUGUCAUUUUUUGUUUAAAUUUUCAUUAUUCUCAUCCUGCCAUUAAAAGGGCGAGACUAAAAUUUAUUUUUUUAAUUUAUUAAAUUAAUGCUUGAUAUUUUUAUUAUUAUUCUCGCCAUCUAACAUGGCGAGAACAUUGUUAGAGAAAAAAUAUAUUAUUAUUUUUCUAAAUAAGAAAAAGAUGUUAUGAAAUAAAUAAUAAAGAAGAUAAAUAACAAGAAAAACAUGAGAACAAAGAGAAGUAUGAAUUUUAUUAAUCAAAUAGGGAUGUUUACAAUGCUUCUCUAAAGUCUAUAUUUAUAAACAUAAUAAGUAUAAUUGAAAUAAAACUCUACUUCUAAUGAAUAUUAGAGUCCUAAAGUACAUUAAACUUAUAUUGAUCUUGAUGAGCAUCCACUUAAUAAUAAAAUAUUUAUAACACUCCCCAUUGGAUGUUCAUUGGUAGAUAAUAUGUCUCAUUAAAACUUUACUGAGCUAAAAACCAAUCUUAGUGAAGAAAAAAGAGUACACUUAUCUAUAAAACACACAGUAUGUUACCUCAUAAAAAUCUUACCAAUAAAACCUAGUGAGACAAAACCUCGAUUAAAGGAAAAAGAUGGCAACAUUUAUUUACUCCCAUCAUGAUAACAUCACAUAAUAUCUCAAAUUCUACGUAUUCAAUCUUGAAUACUGGCUUAUCAAAUAAUCACUAUAAAGAAUUUGGUAAACAUUUAUAUCAUCAUUCUUCCAAUGUCAUGAGUGAACAACUUUGAGGAAAUAUAUUUUAAUUUCUUUAGAUGGUUUUAAAAAUAAUCAUAGCAAACUUUGAUUAUGAUCCUUCUAUAAAAAUACAAAUACAAAUUUUAAAUCAUUUUAUAAUCUUCCUUCAACUGCUUUUCACUAGGUCAAAUUUACUACGAAUGUUCAAAUCAUUUCAACUUAUAUAAGUAUUUGCGCAAACAUAUUGAAAAAUUUCCCAAUAAUUUCUACACAUUUCAAACAUUUCCUUCAAAUAUUUUAAUAUAAACUUUCACUCUAUAGUGAUUUAUAUAAAGAUUGUAAUAACAAUCAUAAGACGCAUAUUAAAUCUUUCAUGAACUGCCACAUUAAUAAUAUACCUAAAGGUUGUUGCAUCCAACACAACAAAAUAUCUUUUCAUAACAAUUGUUAGGACUUAGCUAAAAACUUCAUUUUUCUUAUUUUAUUUUCGCAAAAACUACUUAUUUGUACCCCCAUUGGCUUUAUGCCUUUAGACGUUUGGACUAUUGAUCUAGAAACUUCACGAAAUUAAUUAUAUUUAAAUUGCGUUUUCCAUUUUGACCAAUUUAUUCCUUGUCUAUAAUUCUCAACAAAUUUCUUCAAGAUCCUUAUUUUCUUUCAUUAUCUUAAUGAUAAAAAUGCAUGUAAAACCGUUAUCGAUAACUUUUCAUGCAAUAAAAGGUUCAUACACCACAUUAUGCUUCAAGAAUGGAUGUGUUGUUCCAGACAUAAAGGUAUGAACAAGAAUUCUUCUGGGACAUCUUUUUUUUAUUAUGGUCGUUGUAUUGAACAUUUUCAUAAAAUCUCAUUAAGAUUCUUCCUAAUGUUGCUUAAUAGAUAAGAGACAUGCAGGUGAUUGCUUAAACGUCUUGUUUUCUAAGGACCUGCUCAUAAACAGGUCCACUAAUUUCUCAAAGUUCAUAAUAAAGUGUUGUGGUAGCUGUAAAUACCAUGCUUGGGCUAAGACCUUCAACAUCAUAGAAAAUGUUCUACACUUAACUUCACUUGAAGCUCCAAAUAUGUUCAUAUGGUUUACAUAAUGGGCCAAAUGGUCUUCAGGAUCACCUCAGCCAUCAUACAUUAAUUUUGCGAACUUAAAGGUUAGAGAAACAUGACACCACAAUAUUUUUUCAGCUAAAGGUUCAUUUUUAUAUAUUUUUUUCACUAAGCUCAGUGAUUUAACCUUUUGAAAAUAUUGUAUAUGUUUUUCUAACAUUUUUAUUUUUUGUUAAAAAAGUAUUCUGAAUAGAAUAGUUAUAACUAUCAUCAUAAUCUUCAUUAUAGCUAUCAUGCCUAUCAAUAUCAUCUACUAAAUCUUCAUUACCUUGACUUGCAUGUUGACGAUCGUGUUCAAAGUGAAUGGAUUCUUCCCUUCCAUGCUGUGGAUUUUGGUCACAAAUCAUUCAACAAUUCACCCUCCUUACUCUUAACUUCUCAAUAAGUUUUUCAUUUAUUUCAUUUGCUUGUUUUUGUCUAUCCAUUUGUUCCUAGAUAAACUUUUGCUGCUCUUCAUAUAUUUUCUGCUGGGAAGACGUUUAUUCAUCCAUGACUCUUAUUCUUUCUUGCAUGUCCAAAUAGUGUUGACUAUCUAAUUAAUGGUAUUGGGAUCCAUGGUCAAUUGGUGAUGCUCUGAUGUGUUGAUUUUAAGGGUUAUAAUACUAUGGGGGAAUUGGUAAAAUUGUUGGUGUGAGUUUUGCUAGUAGGGAUUUGUUGGUUUUUGUUUUGAAGGUUGGUUUGAUUUUGUGGGUUUGAAUGUUGACCACCAUGCAAAAGGUCUUGAGCUCGAGUUGUUCUAGCUUUCUUUGUGUUUACUUAGGUGUGGUGAAUAAUGGAUCCUUAGGUUUGGUCAUUGGUGGGGGCUAAACUCAGUGUUGGGAGGAUCAUUGACACUUAGGUUAAUUUGUUAUGUUUGUCUACACUCACCGCACCAAUUAUUUACCAGUGAGGUGAACAAAGGAAGAAGACGGUGGCUUAAUGGAGGAAUAUAAGAUGAAGGUUGGGGAAAAGGGUUUGCUUAUGAAAAAGUCUAAGAAUUGAAGAAGAUGGGAAGAAUAAAAGUGUGUAUGAGUUGUUUGCAUCGUCCUUUUCUAGUGCGGCCAAGCUUAGCUACUUGUCUUGAGGCCACUGACAAUGAAGUCUGGUUUGAUACUCUUGCCAACGACAUUUAUGCUAGGUCCUAAGAUAAGAUGUUUUAAGACGACUAACAAUCAAUUACCAUAAGCCUGUAUGUGGUUCUCAUAUAAUCUUAAUGGAGAUGUCUAGUCCUAAUGUUUGUCAGGAUGAGGUUCGCAAUUUAACCCAAAGUCUACUGUGUUGUUCACUUCAUUGAGAGACACAUGUCAAGUUUUCUAUGAAUAUAUUGUCAGAUUUGUGAGGUAUAAUGUGAGAUUCGCUACAAAAGGUAUAACACAUAUCACUCUAUGAUAUUUAUAAAUAAUUACUAAAGUUGUUUUUAAAUAAUAAUGAUGAUUAACGUAGUUAACAUACACUAAUCUUUACUUUAAUAAAAUUCCCAAUUGAUAAAUUACCAAAAACUCAUUCUUUUACAAAAUAAUAUUAUUAUAAGAAUAUUUUUGUCAGGGGUGAAGCGAGAAAAUUAUUCUAGGGGGGCGAAAUUAAAUUAUAAAUUUUACGACAGUAAAAAUACAAUUUCAUCAUUUUAAUAGCCUAUAUCUUUAUAAUUUUUGAAAGAUUAAAUAAAAUUUUUAUCAUUUUUUGGGAGCCAAAGUGUAAUUUUACAUUUAUUAAUUUAAAAUUUUAAAAAUUCUAAAGUGCUUAAAAUGAAAAAAAAAACAUUUUAGGAGGGUCAGGGCCCUACUAACCCCCAACUACGCUCUUAAUUUUUGUAAAUUUAUAUUUUUAUAAAUAAUAAGAAUUUUCAUUUAAUGAGAUUUGAAUUAAUAAUACUAUGAAUUUUAAACUUCGGAUUUUACCAUUUCAAUUAAAUACAAUUUAAUUUUUACAUAAAAUUGAAAUAAAUAUAUUUAUUAGCCGUAAAUGUGGUAUAAUUUAAUAAAUUAAAAAUGUUAUGAGUGAAAGUAACUAAAACUAAACUAAUAUACUGACCCGCCCUUUUCGAUAAACUUAACUGACCCAACAAUAUAUUUUUAAAAUUAAUUAAAAUUUUAAUUCUUUGGGAGUAGGAAAGGUGCACGUGACAUGAGUUAGAGCGCAGGCACGUGAUCAGAAUUACACAUGGAGCUAGCAUGGCUAUCACUCACGCACGAAACCCUUUUUCUUUUACCUCUUAUUUUAUUUAAAAUUAAUUGUUGAAAAGGUCUGUUGGAGUGUCCAAAGGGUCGCUGCCAGUUCAGCGUUACGUUGCUAAAUUAAUUUAUUGCUUUUGGAUAGUUGGUUUGUUAUUAAGAUGGAUAAUUUUUUUAUUAAAUUUGUAUAUAAAUUUUGAUUUUUUUUGUAAAAUUAUAUAAUUUUAAUUUGACAUGUUUUUGCAUAUAUUAAAUUUUAAUUUUAGUUUAAUUUUUACAUUUAAUUAAUUUCUUUUAGUUAUGUGGUAUAAUUUUUUGUUAAUUCGUGUAUAAAUUUUUAACAUGAUAUUUUAUUAAAUUAAAAAAAAACAAUCAAAUGAAUUUAAAUAAUUUUCACCUACAUUUUGAAAAAAAUUUUAAAAAUAUGUUUAAUUUUUUAUAUAAAUAAAAAUAAUUGAUAAAAUAAUUAACAAAUUUUUAUUAAAACUCAUAGUUUAAAGUAUACAUAAAUUGUUUUUAUUAAUAAAAUAAGAGAGUGUGUGUUUUGUUGCCAAAUCCUUGGGGGUGGAGAUGAUUUGGUUUCAACUUUUGACCCCUAUUUUGAGGAAUGGGGUCCUUCUUCUAUGUUAUUAACAAAAUCACACUAAUUUGAAGAACUCCACUAAAUUUGGCUCUUCCUUUUUUAUUUUAUUACUUCAUAUUUCUGUAUGAUCUCCAAUGACUUUUAAUUUCAAUUUCUUCUUCUUCUUUUUUAAUUUGGCAUUCCGAAAAAUUAAAAAAAAUAUAUUGAAUUAAAUAUUUUUAAAGAAAUUGAUGUUUAUUAAGUGAAUGUUCAUUAAGUAGAGUUUUAUUUCAUUUAUAUUUUUCAUGUCUAAAAAUAUAAAUUUUGGGAAAAUAUUGUAAAAAUCCCUAUUUGAUUAUUAAAAUUUAUACUUCUCUUUAUCCUCCUGUUUCUCUUGUUUCUUAUCUUCUUUAUUAUUUAUUUCAUAACACACGUUAUCAAACUCUAAAUUUUUUAUAUAUUUUUUAAGCUCUUUGACCACUGAAAAAACAACGGGAAUCAAACUUAGGCCUUGCUAUCGUCCCACCUUUUCUUAAUUGCUCAACCACUCAAGUUUUACUGUUAUUUUGAGUCUUAUAGCCUCUAGAGACGAACAAAAAAGCAAAGCAAGCGCAACAAGGGUUUGAAACUGCAACCUUCAACAACUCUCCUCACCAUUGAGGAUUUAGACACAAUAUGUUGAAAAUUGUAGGAAGUUUAUGUAUAGGUUAAUUUUUCUUUUUUUUAUUAACUUAUUUUAUUUCUAUUUCAAGGAUGAUGAUAGAUUUGAUUUCAACAUUGAUUUUGGUUUUUGAUCUUACACUUAUCAAGCAAAAUUUAGAUUGGUAAGAAGUUUUGAAAUAUUUUUAGUUGAGGUUUGAUUCUAAUUAUUGUUAUAUUUUAAAAUUUUAAUUGAAUUAUUAAGUUAGAUUAUUAAAUGUGGGUGGGUUCAUAAGGCUUACUAAUGAAUCUUUUUAUAAUAUAUAUUUUUAAAUAAUUGUUUAUAAUGAAAAAAAAAGGGUCGUAUAUUAAUAUUCUCUACUUAUUUAAUACUUUUAAAAAACUUGAGUUUUGGUAGAAAUAUAUCAAUAUUAUGUUUUUUUUUAUAUUUGAGUACAUAUUAUUUUCUUAUCAAAUGUUUCUUGUUUAAAUAUAUAUUACAUUGAUUGUUGACUCAACUAUUUGUUUUUAUUAUAUUCUUCCCCUUUAAAGAGAUGUUUAGAAGUUUGUCCUAAUAGAUCUGUUGUAUUUCCGAAAGUGAAUGCAAACAUAAAAAAAAUUGAACCAUAUGAUAAUGGUUGUUAUAAGCAGCAUAAUAAUAAUAACCACUAGAAAUGGAAAUAUGAUAAUAAAUAAGAGAAUAAUGAGAGUUCUCAAGAUAACCUUAGAAACGGAAAAUAUAAUUUAUGUUAUCAAUCUUAUAUGAAAGAUCAUUGGUCAUUUGCCUGUCAUAUGCCCAAAUAUUUUGUAACAAUGAACGUCAUCCCUAUAGUAGAAAGUAUUUAUCUUAUUUAGUACUACAGCAAGCCAAUUUAAUGCAAUAUUUGGCGAUACAGAAUUAGUUGAAAGCUCCUGGAGAGCUAAUAUAUUUAUACUUGGUGUAUCAAAAUUUGUGAUUUAAUGUAAUUUCAAAGAAAUUAUGAAGUUUUCAAAUAUAUUUAUUGUAGUGGAUCUUAUAUUGAGAUUGUGAACGAGGAAAAUAUAUACCUAAUAUGAAUCACUAUUACUAUAAAUAUCUAUAUCUUUUGAUAGAGAAAGAUUCAGUCAUUGAAUUAUAUUAUACAUGAUACUUGGAUACCUAUCUUUAUUUUGAAAAGGAUAGUGGAAGAUUGGGUUUUGCAAGAUUCACUUGAACUGUAGAUUAAUUUAAGAGAGAUAUAUAACCAUCGGAAUACGGUAAAUUGAUCUAAAACUCAUUAUGAUUAGAUGCACUUAAAGUUGCAAUAUUUUGAAUUUGUAAGUCCGUAUAACUCUACAUUAUUUAAGACGAAUUCUCAAUUAUGUGGGAAUAAUAUUACUAAUGAGAACUUGUUAGAGAAAACUUUUCAACUUUUCAUUUUUCAAAUGCAAUACCAUGAAAAAUGUUUUAAGAUAUAUUAUGAAUUAAUGUCAUGUUUACUUAUGGCUAAAUUAAAAAAUGAUCUAUUAAAUGAGAAGCCAUAAAGCCUAUUGUAUUAGAUCUGGUACAUUCCUUGAAAUGAAUAUAGCAAUAUAUAAAGACGUAAUCUUUUGUAACAGUCCAGUUUUAGCUAAAUCGGAACAGUGGUUUUAGAACCACAAAUCCGAGGUCGUAAAAUUAUUUUUAAUAUUAUUUUUGGUAUUUAUAGUAUGUUAUUUAAUAUGUGUAAAAAAUUUCGUGAUUUAAUUUUACCGAUUGGUUAGUUAAUUUGAUAAAAUGACUUAAUCACGUAAAAUACAAAAGUUGCAUACUAUUUGUUUAAAGUGCUUAAUUGCUAUGAUUAAUUAAAUUAUAUUUGUAUUUGCUAUGUGAUGAGUAUGCUAUGUCAUGUGAAUUUGGAUAUUUGGUGACCUAUGUUUUGAUGUAUAAAUUGCCUUGUAAGUUAUUCUGUAAAUGAUGAAAAUUGCUUUGAUCAUUAGGUGAGAUAAAUUAUGAUAUACAAAUAUAUAUGAUGCAUAUUUAUAUUCGGCUAUGGUAUUUGGUUCAUUUUAAUAAGCAUGAGAUUUUGAUAUUUGGUAAUGUAUAAAGAUUAUAUUUAAACAUUUGUUAAUGUUUGCUAAUGAAUCAUAUUUGGAUAACUAAUAAAUGGUAUAAUAUAAUUUGUUAUUUUUAUAAUAUAUAGCAUGGACAAAUAAAUAAGUUAGGUCCAAACUUUUUGUCAUAAUUUUUUAUAAAUAAAUAUAUUAUAAAACUUAAACUAUUUUUGUUAACAAACAUUUUAGCUAUAACUUAAAAAAGUUAGGAUUUAAAUAAUAUAUAUUUUUAUAACUUUAUAAAAUACACAAAUUAUAUUUAUAAUUUAACUUUUUAGGAUUUAUGAUAUAAUAAAAAUUUGACCAUAACCAUUCCAAACACUCACACAUGUUUAUACUUAUAAUAUAAAAAUAAUUUUUAAAAUUAAAUUUGGGUGUAAUUACCUGCAUAACUAUUUUCAUUCUCAUCCUCUCUUAAGAAUUGAAAAGUGUAAUUGGGAUGCUUUAAUUAUACUUAAUUCGAUGAGACCCAUUGAUUACCUAAAUAUAUUAGGUCCAAAUUCAAUUACUAAAUAACCAUUUAAACAACAUGUAAAAUUUUUAAUAGUAAAUUAAUAGGAACAUAAUCUGUGUAGGGAUGUUUAACCCUGAAUAAAGCGAACUUGCAUGAGUGGUCGGGGCCUUAUCUUUGAAUUUCCCUUUUGAGGAAAUUUAUGUCGGGUGUAUUAAUUGUUAGAAAUAUAAAAUCUCUCUGAGGUUAUAUGAAUUAAGUUUGGGAUGAGAUUAGACUUUAUACAAGGAAAUCAAUGAUAAAAAAAAAAGAAGAAAAUUGAGAAAAAGACCAAAAAGGAAAGUUAGUCAAUGAUGGUUAAUAAAGGAAAGAAACAAAAUGAAUAAACUUAUUUCCCGAUAUUAUUUAGAAUAAAUCCAAAAUUUGAUCAACUAUUUAGUUUAUGAUUCCAUACAGAGGUUCCCACUCCUUUAGACCUUAAACCCUUAUUAAUGUUGCCUAAUUUAGAUAUAUAGAUGUUACACCAUUUGAGAACGUUUUGAUAUUAUCCUAAAAGUUUUAAAGUGGAGAUAUACAAAGACGUUGGUUGGAUAAGCUUAAAACUAAUUUUGUAAAUUAAUUGAAUUUGUUGGUAGAAUGCUUGGAGGUGAUGCUUUGAGUGAUGAGGUUAUGGAAGCUUUUUAAAAGAACGAUUGUUUCUUCUUAUUGGAGGAGAGAGUUAGUUUGACGUGAACCCUUUUAAACAUAUGUCGUUUUCUGUAAGGUUGGUAGUAAGGCUAUGAGUGUCCUAUCAAGAUGUGAUUUGAUAAUAUUGUAUAGAUCUAAUAGUAAAGUUAUAAAGAGACUUUCAAAUGAGUCCUAAUGAAACUCAAUUUUAGAUCAUGAUAGUAACUCAUAUGAGAAAAAUUGGUUAAUCUUUAGUUGGGCGAAUACCUCCUUAACUGUAGUGAGGAUUCUAAAUGAAGUAAUUAAGUGUAAAAUAAUUAAAACUCAAAAAUUCAUUUCCUUCGCAUUAUGAAAACUAUUCCAUUAGACAACACAACAUAAAACUAUAAGGUUCCUUUUUUAAAGUUUACAAAUAUAUCCAAAGUACAAAUACAAUUACACGUUGGAGCACCCAUAAAGUGUGGAAUCAAACUAUUAUAGAAUAAAUGGGUUAAUAAGUGUAAAAUUAAACAAUUACAACAUAAGAAGACUAAGAAAUAAAAUAAUCUACACUAGAACUGAUUAAUUGAACUAAAACUGACAUAAAUCAACAGUAUAUGGCAAGACUUGGAGACCCACAUAUUACACAUAAUGAACCUCGAACUUGGAUAUUCAAAACAUAGAAUCUCUGCAUUCACUAUCUAUGCUGAGACUUUAUUGAGAACUAUAAAUGUAAUUGAUACAUGUCAAUAUUUAUAAUUUUCAUCGAUAAUUUAAGCAAAAUUCACUUUAAAGUAAAAUUAAAUAUAUAGAAUAAAUUUAAACCACUUGCCUUAAUCUCUAUCGGUAAGAAAUAAAUGUAAUAAAUGAAAAUAAAAUCACGUUUUUCUUAAUGUAGAUAUGGUGGGUUGAAUUAGGCUGAAAUGCAACCUUUUUUGUAUUAAAAGGCUAGGGUUUAGGGAAUUUAAGACAGCCUUAAAUUUAAAAAACCAACCAGCCUCAACAAGACAGCUAAGUGAAAGUAAACUCCAUAAACCUUGGAAGAUCAAAAUCGACUGUCUAGUUCAACUCAGCUUAAAUUUAAACACGUGGGCUAAUGCUUUCAAUUACUUCCCUAAGAAUGCACUAUUCGCAAAAAUCGCGAUAUAAUAAAUAAUGUUUUUGAUUAUUUAAAAUUGAAAGGAAUAUUAUAAAUAAUCGAUUUGAAUUUAUUGAUUUAGUUCGGUUUAAGUCUUUUUAAAGCUUAAAAAAUCAUUAUUUUAAAUAUUUUACUAAUUUAGAAAUAAAAAAAUGCAUACAAAGAUUAACUCAUAUAUAAAAAAAUAAAUUAAAUUGGUUUAGAUAAUUAUAAAUAAAAAAUCCAAUAAACUAAAUAUAAUUAACAAAACAAAACUGAAUCCAGAUCAAAUUGAUUUCAAUUUUGUUUAAAGUACGCCGUCGUGUGUCUUUGCUAACGUACGCCUUCCUCUCGGGGUUACUUUUUUACAAAAUUGCAGGUUUUUGGAGCAUCGUGUCGGGGUGUGUCUGAUUCUGAUUCAAGAAUUAUUAUAAUAACAGUAUUAUUAUUGUGAUUUCUUAUUUGUCAAAAUUUUUAAUUCUUGAGAUAUUUUAUUAUAUUUACCUUAAUAAGAGUGGGAGGAUUCAGGGAGUCUAAAGAUUCUAUUCUUUUAGUAUAUAAAUAGAGGUUUUUUUUUUUCUUUUAUCAAUCCAUUUUUCAUAUACUGUUACAGAAAAACAAAAAGCCUUGUUUGUUAAACAGAGAAUCAAAAGUGAGAGAGACGAAGUUUGGUUAGUCCCACAUCACAAAUUUCUCAAACAAAGCUAUAAUGGGUAUCCAUUUUUUGCUUCUAUCUCCUUUGGGUUUUUCUCUUCUUUUUUCAGAGCGUUGGUUUUGUUUUUGUUAAUACUGAAAAUUUUCAAAGUUUUUAGAUCCAGAGUCUUAUGCUAUGAGAUUUGCUUUAUCUUCUACUAAGUUUUUUUUUAAAAGAAGUUUUUCUGUGGAUUUGAUUUGGUAGGUUUAUUUUCUUUACUUGUAUGUUUUUACACCAAUUGACAAACACAUAGAGAACUACAUUUCCGGAGAGGGUUUCGGCUAUGUUUAAUGACUUUUCCAAGUCUUGAAUGGCCUUUUCUUUGGUAUGGUAUAAGUCAACAUUCUGUUUCUUCUUUUGGAGUCUUCUUAAUUGCUCUACUUUUUUUUUUUCUCUGCUUAAAAGUUUCAAGUUUUUAAGUCUCAUCUCUCCUCUUUUACUUCAUAUGUAUGUUUCCAAGAGGUCCUUGUUUAGGUCUUACCACCCAAGGUUCUGCAUAGGCUUUCUUAGUUUUUUGAUUGGUUGCUCUUAUUUCGAACUUCUAUCCUUAGUUUCUGUCAUUGACUGAAUCUUUGUUUCUUUUUUCUAGAGAUGAAUAUGAGCUUUUCUCAUGACAUGGAUGAUGAAUAUGAGAAAUUCAUUAGAAGAAUGAAUCCACCCAGGUAACCACAAGCUCUUCUUUAUGCUACUUUCAUUACAAUUAUAGAGAUGGAAUAAAGAAAAUUACUGUAUUACUCACCUUUCUUGUCAGGGUUGUGAUUGACAAUGAAUCCUGCAAAAAUGCAACUGUGAUAAGGGUAUGUAUAACCCUCUUGAUUUUUCUUUAAUUUUUUUUUUUUGCAUCUUCUGGUUCUUAUUAGAUUUUCUAAUGCAGGUUGAUAGUGCAAACAGACAUGGAAUCCUUCUUGAAGUUGUUCAAAUCCUUACUGAUAUUAAUCUUAUUAUUACUAAAGCUUACAUAUCUUCUGAUGGCAAUUGGUUCAUGGAUGGUAAGAUACCCUGUCCCCUUUUCUUUCCCCUUUUUAAUUAUAAAGUUGUCUACCAAGUACAAAUUUGAUUCUCAGUUUUUUUUUUAAAACCAGUUUUUAAUGUUACUGAUCAAGACGGAAACAAGAUCCUAGAUGAAGGGAUUCUAGAUUAUAUAAGGAAGGUAAGCAGUACAAGUUUUAAUUGAUUUACCUUUUUUACCUCUUAAUUUUCUUGGUUUUUUGUACAUUCAUAUGUUAUUUUGGUUUGGUCUUCAGUCUCUAGGACCAGAAUCUUGUUUCAUGCCUUCAAUAAGAUCAGUUGGGGUGAAGCAAUCAAUGGAUCACACUGCGAUCGAGUUGACAGGAAGUGACAGACCAGGAUUGCUGUCUGAAGUGAGUGCUGUCCUAAGGCAUCUUAAAUGCAAUGUAGUAAAUGCUGAAGUUUGGACACAUAACACUCGUGCUGCCGCUGUGAUGCAAGUGACUGAUGAGGAAACAGAAACUGCAAUUACUGACCCGGAAAGGCUAUCCAGGAUAAAGUCACUUCUUUGCAAUGUACUUAAGGGAAGCAACAAAUCAAGUUUAGCCAAAACUGUUGUCUCUCAUUCAGUCACACAUACCGAGAGAAGGCUUCACCAGAUGAUGUUUGCUGAUAGGGAUUAUGAACGAAUUGGGGGCGAUGUCUUGGACGACAGACAAAGGCCAAAUGUUGAUGUUGUUAAUUGGCAUGAUAAGGACUAUUCAGUGGUUACCAUUAGGUGCAAAGAUAGGCCGAAACUUCUCUUCGAUACUGUUUGCACCUUGACAGAUAUGGACUAUGUAGUAUUUCACGCAAAUAUUGAUACUUUGGGGCCAGAUUCUUAUCAGGUAAUGCCAUUCUUUUUUUUUUCGCUCUUUCACAUAGCAGUUUCUCAUGAGUUCUGGGACUAAAACUAUGUUCUGUUCGUAGGAAUAUUACAUUCGACAUUUAGACGGAUCCCCAGUGAAAUCUGAUGCAGAGAGACAAAGGGUAACCCAAUGUCUUGAAGCAGCAAUCGAGAGAAGAGUAUCUAAGGUGAGUAAAUUAAUCUUUUCAUGACAUCAAAGUAUCACCUUUUUCUUCAUGUGUUUUAUGCAGUAUUUAUUUCUAUAAAAUAACAUACAAUUUGUAAGGAAUCAUUUUCCAUGUGUUUGUACAAUCCUAGUGCUUGUGAAUAAAUUAAUCUUAUAGUGUGGAAUUUGUUUGCAGUUAAUGGUCCCUCUUUCAAAUUUAACUAUCUUAAGCUAUUUAAAUAGUUUGGUACAGAUAUUGACACAAAUUGUUUAUAAAACAUGAAUCCAUACAUAUUGUAAUAUAAUAAUAAGUAGUCAUAAUCAAAACAUUAUAGCAGUCCAGUCUAGCAGACCCUCCAGUCAAAGAUCUCUAGCUGCUCCAUUGUUGACUCUUUUGUCAAAUUAUGUUAUCCCAUUAUCUAGCUAGCUGUCUCCAUCUAUACACUCCUACUCUUCAUUUUUUCUUGAAUUACUCAUGUCAAAUGAUGUGCCUGAUUCAUAUCCGACCCACCAACUCCAUGUUUAAUAAGAUAUGUAAUUAGAGGACUCCUUUCAUUAAAAUUUGCAUUGCUCAUAAACUUGUCUCUAAUCCAGGGUUUGAAGCUAGAACUUUGCACAACAGACAGAGUGGGAUUGCUGUCUGAUGUAACUCGGAUCUUCCGAGAGAACAGCCUGACAGUCACCCGAGCAGAAGUGACAACAAAAGCAGGCAAAGCUGUGAACACGUUCUAUGUUCGUGACGCAUCAGGCUAUCCUGUAGAUGUUAAGACCAUAGAUUCUAUCAGACAAGUUCUUGGCCAGACCAUUCUAAAAGUUAAAGGUAACCCUGACGACAGUAAACCACUUUCCCAGGAAUCUCCAACCAGGUUCCUUUUUGGUGGUCUCUUCAAAUCAAAAUCUUUUGUCAACUUCAGCUUGGUUAGGUCUUAUUCUUAGGAAUCUAUAUAUAUAUAGGUCCUUUGACGUGUAAAUGAAAACCCACUUUGAUUUAGAUGAUGGAUUCCAGUUUAGAUGUUGUGGAGUCUAAGAAAUCAUUUCUCAGUUCUGGUAUUGGAAAUUAAACCACAGAAAUAGAAAUGGAAGGACGUGUAAAUAUGGGAGCUCACCCCCUUUUUUUUUAUUUACUGUGUAUUCAAUCUAUAGUUGGAUCCACAAAUGCUAAAAAAUGAAACAAUGACUUUCUGUACAAAACCCAAGUCUCGCAAUUUUCAUUGCUUUGAUUAUCUUUAUUUUUAGUUGUUUUGACUGUAAUUUUGGACUAUUGUACAUAGAUUUGACCUAUUGUGUAUAUAUAUAUUAACAGAAACUGGAAAUUGAAAAAAAAAGAGAGAGUAAAAGCAGGAUUUCGAAAUUAGUGAAUAUCAGCCAUUUAAAAUAAAUAAAUAGACAAACUGAAAUAAAUGAUUAAAUUAGAAUAGUUAGAAGAGAAGAUGAGGAAAUGGGAUUAUUUAGAGUGGAGGGUGACUACUUAGGGUUUGACCGAUGAUCCCACCCACCACCAAAUCAGCCAUUAGACACGCAAAUAAGGGUGGCGGCUUUGGUGUUUGUUUUAUAUUCAUUUCUAAAGUUUUCCAUUUCUUUUCUAUGUUAAAUCUUUUUAACAUUGCUUUCACUCCAAGAAAGCAAUUUUUUUUAAAGAAUAAAUUUUUAUAUGUUUUUUUGGAGAUAGUAUGCCAAUUAUUAACGUUCGUCAUUCUCAUUUAAAUAACUACAUUAUGGGUGAGAAAAAAAAUAGAUUAGGUUUAUAAUAUAUUCUUUUAAGACCAUGGUAUUUUUUUAGGAGUUAUUUUUUUUGCGAACCUUUUUAAGUGGAUGACUUUUUUAUAAAAAAAUUAUACAACAUAAUUAUCUUUUUGAUAUAUGCAAUUACUAAAAUAAAAAUUAUUUAAGAAAAUAGAUUAUUUUUAUGUGAAUGUAUGACACGCAUUUUAAACAUGCUUUCUACUAACAAAGCAUUUGACCCAGUAUAUUGGUUAUAUAUGGAAUUUGAUUAGUGUGAGAAUUUUAUGUUUUUAUUUUUAAUUAAUAAUUUUUUUAUUUAUAUAGAUAAAAUAAUAAUUAUAUAAUUAUAUAAUGAAAAAACAUCUUUAAUAUAUAGCAUUAUGUUAAAUAUAUUUUAAUUUUUUAAAAAUCAACUAUUUUUCCUUGUAUAUAUUUUUUAUUUUUAGUUAUUUUUUUAAUUAAUAGCUUUUUUAUUUAUAUAGACAAAAUAAUAAAUAUGUAACUAUAUUAUGAAAAUAUAUUUUUCAAUAUAGCAUUAUAUGUUAAACGUAUUAUCAACUAUUUAUGCUGAUAUAUUUUUUCUUUUAUAAUUUAAAAUUAAUAUCGGAUAUUAAUUAUGUACAUAAUUAUUUUUUGAAAAUUUCAUUUUACUCGGGCUUGAUUGGAUUUUGAUUCAAAAGAAAAAAAAAAUUAUGGAGCUAAAUCAACUCAAAAACACCUUUUAAAAGAUUACAUUGUACGAUUAAAACAUUUAUUGUUUUAUUUGAUGUUUGGUCAAUUACUCUUUUACCCAUAAAUGUAAUAUAAGUAUUGGGCUCAACAAUAUGAUAUCGCCAACAUAUCAAAACUUGUCGUUAAUCUAUUGGAGAUAUAAGAAUUGAUACAUAAAAUAAUUUUUUAUUUGAUUUGUAAUCAUAUAAAGCGCAAAAUAUUUUAGCCAUUUGAAAACACACACUAGAAUAAGAGGUAACAAAUUAUUGGUAGCAUAUUCGAUUAAACGAGUGAUUGAUAACCAUAUUUGAUUGCUAUAGGAAUACCAUUUAGUUGACUCGUGUCUGCUUAAAUAACCUCAGUUAAUCCUAUCUUUCUUUGAUAAAAUAUAUCAAAAUAAAUAAUUGAGGUUUUAAAAAAAUAAAAUAUACCAAUAAGUGGUUGGCUGUGAUAAGACAUAUUUAACAUAAUGAAAUAUAUAUUGAAAUAUAUAUUUUCAUCAUAUACUUCCAUAUUUUUUAUUUUAUUUAUAUAAAUAAAAAAAUUAGUAAUUUAAAAAACAAAUUAAAAGUAAAAAAAUACAAGAAAAAUAUCUCAACAUAAUUAAUUAUUUUUAAAAGAUAAAUUAUAUUUAACAUAAUGCUAUAUAUAUAAUAUUUAUUUUCAUCAUAUAAGUACAUAUUUAGUAUAUUGUCUGUGCAAAUAAAAUAUUAUUAAUUAAAAAACAUAAAUUAAAAAGUAAAUACAAAAAAAUAUUUAUAACAACGUGAAUUAAAAAUAAAAACAUAAAAUGCUUGAGAGAGGAUUUGACCCUGAAUCACACUAAUAAAAUAUGACUUGGCUUUGUUAGCAAAAUGUGAUUUUGCCUCAUCAACACAAAAAUGGUAUAUUUCCUUAAAUAAAUUUAAAUCUGAUCUAAAAUCUAAUUUUUUUUACAUUGAGUUGAUGCCGUAAAACAUAACACUAAAUUUAGUCAAACAUUUUAUAAUUAAAAAAAAUUAUUAAUUUAAGAAUAUUUAUUUGAAUGGAAAUAAGAUAUGAUGGUGAUAUGGAAUGAAGGAAACCCCGCCUUUUCUUAUGGUUGAAACAUUUUGAUCUAUUUAUGGUGAAUUAAUUGUAGGAGGCAGCCAUGUUGGAAUUAGACCAAUUGGUAUUUUAGUGUUGGGUUGUUAUUGGAGUCUCCAAACUUGAAUCCAUUUUCAAACUCAUUCAUUUCAUGCUUUUCUCCAUUGCAAUCCUUCUAUGGUCCACUCAUUCAUUCCACAAGCAGUCUUAAAAAAUGAUAUGUAUCUUCUUUUUUAAAAUAUUUUUUAUAUCAUUAUAAGACACUUGUCAACCUCCUAAUUCUGUUUUACUUAAAAGACUCUAAGAUUUCAAAAUUUUUUUCUCUUUUUAACUUUUUUUCUUAGAUAAAGAUAAGUUUGUAUAUCUAAAUGAUGGUGGUGCAUGGAAGAGCCACCUUAAGAAAGAGGUCAAGGUGCAUAAAUAAAUAUGAAAGCCACCAACCACAUGGUUGUCUUUCCAGCCAGGUUUGCACAUGAAAAGAAAAAGACGGCAUAUGAUUUUAUAUAUAUGUAUUAAAUUUAAGACUUUAUUUUAGGAGUUCAACUUCAUCAUGGUUUGCACUGUUUGAUGCAAUCUUGAGAAUAAAAAAUGGCAUAAUACUAGCGCUAACGAAUUCGAUUUUCCUUAGAAGUUUUUAAAUUGGAUUUGAAAUUAUUUAAAUUCUAAAAAAUUAUUGGAAUUAAUAUAUAUGAUCAAACUUUAAAAUAUUAUGGUUCAAGGUUAAUUAUCUAGUUUUUUCUGACGUGGGAAUUUCUAUCUUCAUUGCUAAGUCUUUGUUUCUCCCUUAUCAAGUAGAGGCGAAGCUAGAAAUUCUUCUUAAGGGACCAAAAUUAAAUUUUAAAUUUUAAUAAUUUAUAUUUUUAUAAUUUUUAAAGAAUUAAAUUAAAUUUUUAUCAUUUUUAAGAGGGUCAAAGUGUAAUUUUACAUUUACUAAUUUAAAAUUUUAAAUUUUUUAAAAGACCUAAAUAGACAAUUUUCCAUUUUAAGGGGACUGGGCCACUUGCAGCCCGUAGAUAAGCCACUGUUCUCGAGAAAUAUUAGGGUUGGUCUAGAUUUUGAGGUUGUUUUUCUACUAUUCAAUUGUAGAAAUGUCAAUUUUAAUAUGCUCUUUUAUGUUUUGUUUAGUUUGGUUUGCCUUGAGUCUUAAGUGGUAAAUUGAGAUCAAUCAUGGCACAUUAGGUUUAGCUUUCCUUGCAUCUCGCACUUGGUCUAUUUCUUUCAAUUCUUGCUUCUUUUGAUUGCUUUAGGUUUUGCUUAAGUCAAUAUUUUUAGGAUAUUAUGAUUUGAUCGGUCCUACUAACAAGGUUAUAAAUGGGAUAUACUUUUAAUGACUUGUCAUACCUAUUUGGAAGUAAAGCUUUAAGAUUUAGGUUUUGCAAAUGGGAUGAGAUUUAAUCAUAGAACUAGAGUGGGAUGAAAAGAAUUGAGGGUUCAAAGCUUGUAUCGAUUGGGAUGAUAAUCACAAUUGAAAGGUGGUGAUGGCUGCUCUUAGAAGGAUUUGGUUGGAAACGGAAGUGGUUUCCAUUCCAAAACUGGGCAAUAACAUGUAUGGAUCUUACUAAUGGACAGAGGCCAUGAACAAUAAUGGGACAUCGCUUGUGCAUUAAAAGAUGAGAAGGGGAUCAAACCAUAAUUGAAAUAUGUUUUGAUAAAAUGUUCUUUUCUAUUCAAGUACAUAAGCUACACCUAGAUGCAUAGAGUAGUUAGAAUGUUAGGAGGUUAUAUGAGUUGAAGAUACAUCUUUGGAUACAGGAGGGGGAUUGGUGAUGAUUUUUGAGGGUGUGAAUAAGUCACUGCUUAACAGGUUUUAGGUACCAAGAAUGUGACAUAAAGUACGAGUGAUUGGUUGAGUUUUGUGUAAAUUUAACGGUAAAGAUGUUUAGACCCUGGAUGAAAGCUAGGAUUUUUUUGAAACAUACAGUAAGGAGUGGAAUGCAAAGAAAAUGAAGGGUAAAAAUGUUAUAAAAAGGAGAAGGAUUAGAGAAGAUAGGUAUGAGUGGGAAGGAGUAUGACAACAGGAAGAGAGAAGGGCUAAUGAAGGUAGAACAGGGUAGAGUUAGGGUGUACGAAUAGGUCAGGUUGAGCAGCAGGGGAAUCAAUAAGAUUGAAUUUGAAGAGAUGAUUUGUGAAUAAUUUUAUAAUAGAUUUAAUGAUAAAUUUGAUCAUUAACGUUUAUAUAUUUUUCAAAAUAGUUGUCGAAACCGUUUUUUUGAAAACAAAAAUUUAGUUGUCGACUUUAAAAAUAAAACUGGAGUCGCCACCGAUCCUUUAUUAAGGUGUGAUCGGCUCACCUUAAAAAUUAUUUUGGUCUACGAAUUUUGAGAAAACGAGUCCGGGAGUCAGUUAUGCACGAGGAAGGGUUAACACCCUCGUAACGCCCAAAAUUGGUACCAAAUUGAUCAUUUAAUGUCUUAAUGUCGAAGGUUAAAAAGAUUUUAAAAUCAACUCAAAUGAUGAAAACUGAAAAGGAUGAUCAAUUGUUCAAGUCUUGUAAAGAAAUCGAGUCCCAAUACGUUAGGGUACAAUUCCUCAUAAUCCCCGACCUUUGAAUAUCACUUUUAUUUUAUGUGAAAAUCUUCAUUUUGAGAAAGUAACAUGCCACACCCAAUGCGUUAGGACACAACAAGUUAAGUUCCCAAAAAUGAUUUUUAUACUCAUGCAUUUUGAAUAAAGAAUAUUCUCGAUUAUUUAAGAUUAACAAAGAAAAUCAGAAUCCAAUACGUUAGGGCUCCAUUUCCCUCGAAAAUCCCAAACUUCGAAUAUUACUUUUAUUCAAAAAAAAUCUUUGAAUCAAGAAAAUAACUUUGAUGUAUGGUUAAAACCAAACCAUAUUUUCAAAAUGGGUAUGUUAAAAAGUUAAUGUACAAUAUGAUACAAAUAUUUUAAUUUAAAAUAUACAUGUACAUGUAUUUACAAAAUAUGUAAACACAAGCACAAUAUACAAGUAAAUUUGAAAAUAUGUGUAUGCAUAUAUUUAACACACAUAUACAAGUAUACGUAUGUAAAAAAAGUGUACAGCAGAACUUAUAAUAAUCUCCAACAAUAUGUAUGUAGGUUUCAAAGAAAAUACAUAUAUGUACAAAAAUAAGGAAAAUACAUAUGUAUUGCAAAAUAUAAGUGUACAUACAUAUAUACUUAUUUAUAAGAACUAUGAAAACAAAGAAGGAAAUAUAUAUAUAUAUAAACUAUGCGUGUAUUAAAAUAUGUAUAUAUAUAAUUACACAAAAUUAUGAAAAUAAGAUAAAAAAUAAAAGUAUGUAUAUGUGUAUAUAUUUACAAAAUAAAAAAUGUAUAAAUAUAUAUAUGAAAUAUAAAGUAUAUGGAAGUUUAAAAAUAAAAACUAUAUAUAUAAAAAGAAAUUAAAAAACGUAUGAAUAACAUAUAUGCAUGUAUUUAUAAAAGCUUAAACUGUAUAUAUUAUAUAUAAAAUAUGCGUAUGUAUAUGUAUAGAAAAUAUAAUAAUAAUAAUAAUGAUAGUAAAUAAUAUAACAAUAAUAAUACAAUGCCAAAGAACUACAAAAAAUUGAUUAAGGAUCUAAUUGAAAAAUAAACAGAGUUUAAGGGUCGCAUUUAAUGAUUUGUGAAUAAUUUUAUAAUGGAUUUAAUGAUAAAUUUGAUCAUUAACGUUUAUAUAUUUUUUAAAAUAGUCUUAAGGUGAGUUUGGAUGGGUGGUGCGUUUACCUGCGAUUAGUGUAAAAACAGCGGUGGCGGUGAGAUUAUAUAUUGUAGCGUAAGACAAAAAAUAAGCUAAACGCACCACACCGCACCCAAUCGCUCGUUCAAAUCCACCUUUAAUUGUAUUUUUGAAUUGUUUUGCCAUCAUUUUUUUUUCAAUUCUUUUUUUUUUUAAGUUUAAUGAAAGAAUAAUAAAUUACAUCUGAAAUUACUUUAAGUAAAUCUGUUAGAACAAUUAAAUUGAAGAAAAAGAUCAAAAAUUAUGAAAAAAAAAUUUAAAAAUAUAAUUAAGAGCAUUUUAACCAAAUAUAAAAAGGUUGCUCAUCAAAUUUAUCAUUAUAGCCUUUUAUAAUUUACGAUGAAAUAUAUUUUUAGUUCACGCAAUUCGUAUAUUUCUUAUUUUAUUUAAAAUUUUUUGAAAAUCUGAUAGUCUUUUUUCAUUCUUCGACUCCCUAGGAACUGAAACCCACUUCCCAAUUACCAAUUAUUUCGAUUUUCUUUUCCCACAACACCUCCAAACAAAAAAACAAAGCCUAAUGAACCAUCCCAAAUUCCCGAAGUAUGCCACAACCAUCCUCUUGCCAUUCCAGUCUUCCCUUUAGACCUUCAUUUGUAUUCUUCAAACCCUUUGAGAGUUUCUGAGGCAGUGUUUAAAAAGGUUCACCGGCUAGAUAUAUAUCCUCGAUGGCGGCGACAGCACCCGAAGGCGACGAUCGGCGGCAGCAAAUAGUGAGAUUCAAGAUGAGAGAAAAGCUUAAGUCUAAAGAGAAGAAAGAGACGUAGUCGGCAGCAAAACAUAACCAAGGCUAAAAAGAAAAGAAGCAGAAAUGAUAACUUUUUUUUUUCUUUUGUGUGUGUGUGUGUUUAUGUGUUUAGUAGGCAGGUGACUACUGACUAGUGACUAGGGCUGUGUUUUAUUUUUCAAUUCAUUUAAUUAUUUUGGGUUGGGUUUGCUAAAAUUUAAGAGUUUGGGCCGAAAAGGGUAAUAUUUCCGGUUUGGGUCAGUAAAUUUUGCCCAAAAAUAUAAAAAACCGGUUCAUCCAAUUUGUAGUUUACAGUCUAACUGCGAUUCGCAGUGGUUCAUGGUUCAAAUGGUUUCCCUUUUAUUUUGGAGGGAUAUACCAGCCACUUCUCGAUCCGAUUUAAAUACCAUUGACUAAAAUUUAAGUUUAGCUUUAUAAAUAACAGUUAGAUAUAUUUAAUAUUCAAGUAGUAUUUAAGAAAAAAUUGCUAAUAAAAAGGGUGAAAAUCAUAUUAUCUAAAAAAAGAAGAAAACAUUAAAAUAGUGAUUCAUGUAAGAGGUAAUAUCGAAUUAUAUUCGAAUAAAAAUAACCCCGAAAAAAAAUGAAAUUUCUUUGAAGAGACAGUAUCAACUUCAUGAAACAUGAAAAAGAGAUGGAAUAUUAUUUAAACCUAAAAUUCUUUUGGUUUUUUUUAUUAAAUUAAAUAUCAUUGUUUUUAUUUUAUAAUUUUUAAUGAAUUUUUUUUCAAUUCAAUCAAAGUUUUAUUUUAUGGUUUAUAAUUUUCUAUAAUUUGUUAAUAUCGUCUAUUUAUUUUAUCAAUAUUUAUCUAAUUCUUUUUAAAAUAGAAAUUGAGACAAAAUUAGAAAAUAUGUAUAACAAAUUCAGAACAUAAGUAAAUCAAAGAUAUAAAUAAAGAAAGAAUCAACACGAUAAUUGUUAACACAGUUUAGAUUCAACAAUAUUAUAUCUUGGAUAAUUAUUGGCUAAAGCUCAAUCUACCAAUUGUCAAUGGAUAAAUAUUGCAACCCCAAAGUCAAAUCUAAAUUAUUACAAAUCAUUUUUCCCAGAUACGUUAGUGCCUAAACACACUCCAAAUGACUCGAACAACAAUCUAUUUAUAGGCUCUCCUUCAACGUGAUCAAAAAUAAGAAAAUGAGUCUUUAUCACAUGUUUAAAUAUUGAUAAUCAUCUUAAAAUAUUCAAAUAAAACUUUUUAUAAAGCAACUUUUCAUCAACUUCAAAAGUCUCAAUAGAUAAUUAUUAAGGAAAAAUAUUGCCUUUCCAAGCAUAUCAAACAUCUUUACCUCUUCUUCAAGUUACACAAACAAAUGAUAAUGAUUAUUCUAGAAUGUUGAGUCACGGAAUAUCUCCACGUUUGUUGUUUUAAUGAGGUUUACUCAAAAGUCAAACAUGUCAAUAUGAAAACUUUGACGGUUCUAAAUUAACUUAUUUUAACUAUUAUUUGAAAAUAAAAUGAAAUAAACAGUACACAAAAUAUUUUAUGAUAAAGAACCUCGAACUAAUUAAACAUGUACUUCAAGCAACAUUUAUGUCUCUACAUAUUUGACCAUGAAAACAUGGUCCUUCAUUAUCAAAGAUGCCAACUUGAAGACCUUUGACUGGUACAAGGAUUGGUUCAAACACUUUUCAAUCAGCCCACGAGAUAAUAAAGAAUAGCAGCAGGUUUGAGAGUCGAAUGCAGGCUUGGCGCUGGGGUCGUAUGGAGGUGCGGCAGUCCAGGGCCCAAAGUUGAAAAGAGUCCAAAAUAUUAUUUUCUAGUUUUUAAAGGCACAAUUUUUUUUAAAACUUUUAAAGGCCCAAAAAAUAUUUCUCCAAUUUUUAAGGAACAUAAAACUCCAUUUUAUUGUUUUGCCUAGGGCCCAAAAAUGUCAAAAAUAGGCCUGGUCGGAUGAAACAGUCAAAAGGUUCCGACAAAGAUAAAAAAUAUACGAUGGACAAACAUUUUACAUUCUAUAUAAUCGUGUAUUUCAUGUGUGCUUAUCAAAUAAAAGAUAAAUCAAAUUGCUAGCUUUGUUGCCUAUUUUACAUCCUAACUUAUAUAUAGCUUGUGUUAUAUAUAUUGUUGAAAUAGAACAAUUUUCAUAUUAUAUUCUUAUUUAAUUAUAAUUUAAAUUAUUAAGUUUGAAUAAUAAGUAAUGUCUUAUUUUAUAUUGUUGAGAUCGAUCCGAUUAUGCAAUGAACAAGUAAAAAAUAGCGGAAUAAAUUAAGAAAUUGAACACACAAAUUUAACAUGAAAAACCCCCUCCAAAGAGGAUAAAAAAUCACGGGUAAAUAUAAUUUUAUUAUAAUGGCAAAAGAACGAAGAGUACAAAAGAUGGAGAUAAAAAACUAAACCUCGAAACCCGAAAACAAAGAACUCUCAAAACGUAAACAUAAAAUUCUCUAAAAGUGUUAUGAGUUCUAAUCUUUAAUGGGUUUACUUUCUAAAGUUGUAAAAAAUUCUAUUUAUAGGCUAAAUUUGCAGGUCAUAUAAUAAUAAAAUAAUCUAGACUAAUCAUAGUUCGACUGAAGCAAAUAAAUAGAGUUUAAUUAGGAGAUUAUCUUUCAAAUUUGACUAAAAUACGUGUCAUACUCAAUAAAUCUCCACAUUAACUCGUAUUUCCAUAACACCAUCUUUACCAAAGCCCAUCAUGGGCCUAUCUUGAACUAUGCAAGGAAUUAAUUGAGUUGAAUCUAUGCUUAGAAACUGGAAUACUUCUAGCAUUCGAUUUAUGCACUGCCAAAUCAAAACUAACUCGGGUCUAAUUUUUACGAACACGGUGCCCUAACUUUUCAAAACUUGCAUCCAAAAGAGAACUUUUCAAUGAAACAAUCAUACCUUUUUUUUUCCUUCUAUGACCAUGUAAUAGCCCGAUUUUCAGUGAUGUCGAAAAUAGUGGUUCGAGACCACCAAAUCCGAAAAAUGAGCUCAUAAAUUUUAUUAUUUAAUAUUUACGAGCCAAAUGAGAUUUUUAAAAGAUUUUUGAACCAGUAAGUUUGUGGUUAUAAUGAUUUAUUAGAUUAAUUAAUUUUAAAAAAGAGGUAUCAAGGCCUCGGUGUUAUAAAUUGAGCCGUAAAUAUUUUUAUAAAUAUUUACGGAGUGUCAAUAAGGUAGUAUUAAAGUUUUUUUAGGAAAUUUUAACGCUUUGGUAGUCAAUUAAUUAAAAAUGACUAAAUUAAAAAAGGUACAAAACUUGCUAAAGUGAUUAAAUAGUCUAAAUAGUAAAUAAAGGAAGACUAAAAGGGCAAAUAGACCCAUAUGAAUGGAGAAAUAAAUGGGAAAUUGAAAUUUCUAGACAAAUUCAUCAUCAUUUUCAGCUAAAAAAAAGCCAUUGAAGAUUUUUUAAGCUGGUUUUUCAUAUUUUAGCUUAAUGUAAGUUUAAUUCUUGCUUUUUCCUUGAAAUUUUUUAUGUUUUUGGACUUUUACAACUAGGUCCAAGUUACUAUUUCAUUAGUUUUUGAUUUUGUUGAAAGUUUUGGAAGAUACCUGUAAUCACUGAAUUUUGUCUGGUACGUUCUUCGUGUUUUUAUUUUAUUUUAUUUAUUUUAUCUUAUUUUAUUUUAUAUAUAUUAAAAAAAUUAUGAUUUUUUUGGGCUUACCUAAUGUGGGCCUAAUGAUUGGGCCCAAUGGGUGGGCAUGUAGGGUUGGAUAAUUGGGUUUUAAAUAAUUUAAUUUUGGACUUGUUUGGGCUUUGGCCCAUUGUUUUGUUUUGUUUUUUGUUUUGUAUGUUUUAAAAAUAUUAAUAAAACAAUAAUAAAUCAGAAAAAAAUAAAAAAAUAAAAAUUACAUUCGAACCCCUAAAAUUUCUAAAAAUUACAUUUUAGCCCCAUAUUUUUAUAAAAUUACAUUUUUACCCUGAAAACUUUACACCCUUUACAAUUUGGUCCUCUUGGACAUGUCAAAUCUGCCAGUCGGCAGCCAAGCGUGCUCCACCCACCUCCAGCUACUCCAGCAGCCUCCCUAGGCCAAUGAUGCUCCCCUACCGCCUGAAAACAAAGGAAAGAAGACAAAAUUGAAAGGAUUUAAAAGAGGGAGAUGAAAGGAAGAAGGGGGGAUUUUCGGCAGCCAAGGAAAGCAAAAAAAAAACAACAAAAUCAAGCAAAAAACAGCAGCAAAAAGCCCCACGCCUCCGCGUCCACCGCCGUCCCUCACCACCGGCCGUCGUUCCCCCAUCCACCAAAGACAAAGAAAGCCAAUAAAUAAAUAAAAAAGCAAAGUCAAAGAAAAAAACAGCAAGCAAAAAGCAAAAAAAACAAGCAAAGAAGAAAAAGAGAAGAGAAGAGGAGAGCUUCACCGUGCGCCACCGCUGAUCGCCGCGCCAGGCUGGGGGGUGCACCGUCGGGGCUGAACGGAGAAGAAAGAAAAAAGAAAAGAAGAAAGAAAGAAGAAACAGAGAAGAAAGAAGAAAAAAAAAGAAAGAAAAAAGGGGAAAGAAAAAAGGGGAAAGAAAAAUAAAAAAUAAUAUAUCGGGUCGACCCGAACCGGAUUCAACCCGCGACCCGACCCAACAGGACCAGCAGUAGUAGGUCAGCCCAAAAAAAAAACCAAAAUAGAAAAAGAAGCAGCAGAAAAAAAGAAAGAAAGAAGCAGAAAAAAGAAGAAGAAAGAAGCAGUCCAGCAGCAGGCCCAGUGCAGCAGUCCAGCAGCUUCAGCCCAAUAGCAGCAGACCAGUGCCCAGCAGCUCAUAAGUAGCGGCCCACUUCCUGGCAGCCCAUAAGUAGCGGCCCAACAGCAAAAAAGUAAAAAGAAAAGGCCCAUUCUUCAACUCCAUUAUUUUGGGCUUUUGGGUAAAUUUUUUAUCCAUUUAUUUUAGUCCAUUUAUUUAAAUAUUGUAUUAUUUCAAUUAAAUUAGCAUUUUUAAAAUAGUUUUUUUUAGAAAUAUUGUUACAUUUAUUUUACUCGUAUUUUAAAAAAAAAUAUAUUUAAUGCAUAAGUCAACGAACCGAUUUAAUUUUAAGUCAUCGAAUUCAUUGCUAUGUUGGGUGAAUAUCGAUUGCUCGUGUUAAAUACGGGACGCCCUUCUAAAAAUCGAAAAUAUUCAAAAUUCCUCGUAUUUUAAUAAAAAUUCUUGUGUUUUAUUAGAAUCCCGAUUAAAUAUUAAAUUGAAUUUAUUUAACACUAAUUCGAUGGUUUCAUCGCCAUGUUGGGGUGAAUACCAUCGAUUCAUGUUAAAUACGGUAUUUUUAAAAAAAAUCGUGUUUCAAAAAUUUUCAUGUCUUCAAAAUUUCUCGUGUUUCAAAAUAAUAAUAAUAAUAAAAUUUCCCGUGUUUCAAAAAAAUAUAUUCCUGUUUCUUUUUUAAAAAAUUCCGUGUUUCAAAAAUUCUCGUGAAUAAAAAAAAAUUUCGUGUUUUCAAAAUUCCCGUGUUUGAAAAAAUUUCGUGUUUUCAAAAAAAAAUUUCUCGUGGAUAUUUUUUUUGAUGUUAUCGUGUUUUCAAAAAAUUCCCGUGUUUGACAAAUUUUUCUGUUUUCAAAAAAUUCUCGUGUUUUCAAAAUUUUCAUGUUUUCGUGUUUUCAAAAAAUUCUCGUGUUUUUAAAAAAAAUUUCGUGUUUAAAAAAAAUCAUGUUUUCAAAAUUUUCGUGUUUUCAAAAUUUUUCGUGUCAAAAAAAUUCUCAUGUAUCGAAAAUUUCCGUGUUUUCAAAAAAAAAUUUCGUGUUUCAAAGAUCUUCGUGUUUUCAAAAAUUAUUAUUGUGUUUCAAAAUUCUCGUGUUUAAAAACAAAAAAAAGUUUUCUCGAGUUUCAAUCGGAUCACAAUUAAAUAUUAAAUUGAACUUGUAUUUUUGAAAAUUAAGAUAACGCGCGUUUAACGAGAUACCAAUUUUGGGCGUCGCGAGGGUGCUAAUACCUUCCUCGCGCGUAACCGACUCCCGAACCCUAAUUUUCUCUGGAUUUUUACGUGGACCUAAAAUUGCCUUUUUUUGGAAAAGUUUUAAAAAAAAUUCUUCUAAAAAGAGAUUUUUGAAGGUGUCCGAUCACACCUAUAAAAAAGAUCGGUGGCGACUCCUUUUCUUAAAUAAAAUCAAAACUCCAUUUUCAAAUUUUCAAUAAUCGCUUCGAUUAGUGCCCGUGCCCAAAAUUUUUAGGUCGCUACAAUACCAUUGAUAAGUUAAUAUGAUUUUAGUUAUUAGAUGAUGAAAUUUAGAUGUUGAUGGGUAUUUAAAGGUAUUUUAUUAAGGAAUUUUGGAUGAAAUCAUGUUUUAGGGAUUAAUAUAUAAAGUUGUUGAAUUUAUGAGAAAUUAUGUAAUUUCAUGGAAUUUAUGGGAUGCUAUUGAUAUAUGUGAAAGUAUUUUGGCUUGGAAUAAGGAAUAAAUGACAUGAAUUUCAUUUUCCGAGCCUAGGGAUGAAACCGUCAUUUAGUAAAAGUUUAGGGGUAAAAUAGUAAUUUUGUCUAAGAUGUGACUUGGGUAGAGUUGAAUGUAAAUUGUAUUAAAUUGAUGUUAAAUUUACUCAUAGAUCCGGAUAGAUCAAAUAUGGAGCUUACUCAUAGAUCUGGAUAGAUCAAAUACGGAGCUAUAUCGAGGUAAAGAAAAAGUGACGGAUUAGUAAACAUCAAUUUACUCAUAGAGUUGGACGUGGCAUGUACGGAGGCGAAGGCGCGCGUGCGAUGGCUCGUCACGUGUGGAGGGAGAGCGAGGGGCGUCACUGCUGCAGCGCUGGGAACCCUUGCUAGGGUUUUUGGUGUUUUGGGGUUGAGUUGGGUUUUGGGCUAGGUUAGAAUUUUAGGUUAAGGUUAGGUGACUUGGGCCUUUUGGGCCAUUGUAAUCGAGUUAUGAAAAUUGGGUUGUAACUGGACUGAUGGACUUUUAAUGAUUUUGUUUUUAUUUAUAAAAUUGGGCCGGACAAAUUGGGGUUAUUACACUUGUAAAGAUAAAACUCCCAAUAUGGAAUUUAUCAUAAUUAUUUCCAUAUCUUUAACACUAGAAAAUUAAAGAAUUUUGAAACAAACUCAAACGACAGAUUCUAAUCAAAUCAAAAAAUUCAACUGGGUUUGAGAAAAGGGAAAAAGAAUUUUGAAAUUAAAUUUUUGCAUACCUUAUAAAGUGAUCUCUUCCUAUUACAUAGAUUAAUUAUGGGUGAGUUUGGAUGGGCGAUGCGUUUACCUGCGG
rnacentral:lncRNA from 1 species